rnacentral:lncRNA from 1 species
UCAGAGAAGAGAAAGAGAGCAGAAACUGGUCCAAAGCAGAACAAACACGCAAGAAAAACGACCGCAGGGACAGUAAAUCUACGCGUACAGCGCGAGAGUGCGCCACAGUCCACCGCGAUCACUUGUAUCAAUGGCAGUGAUAUGAUAAUACUAUGAAACGCAAAAUCCACUUACAAACUUUACAACCGGUUCAAUCAAAGCCAUAAUAAUUAACAUAACAAUGCCCACAUCACACAUCAAACUUAAGCUCCACAGAUACAGAUAGCAGCAGCAGCAGCAACACACCACCAGUGAUCAGGUGAUCAAUGAUCAUGCACUCAGGCGGAGGAGCCCUUGAGCUUCUUGGCGAUGCCGGCGAAGUACUUGCCCUGGUGGAAGGCGUGCUCCAGCUCCAUCUCCGACGGCCACCGCGACCCGUCCCCCGCGAACGUGCCAGCGCCGUACGGGCUGCCGCCCUGCACCUUGUCCAUGUCGAACAUCUUGGCGCCGAACGUGUACCCCACCGGCACGAACACCAUGCCGUGGUGGGUCAGCUGGGUCACCGCCGUCAGCGGCGUCGUCUCCUGCCCGCCGCCCUGCGUGCCCGUGCUGAAGAACACGCCCGCCGGCUUGCCCGCCAGGCUCUGCUCCCUCCACAGCCCGCCCGUCGAGUCGAAGAAUGCCUUCAUCUGCGCCGCCAUCAUGCCGAACCUCGUCGGGAACCCGAACAGGACGCCGUCCGCCUCCGCCAGCUCCUGCGGGGAGAUCACCGGCACGUCGGUCUUGGGCGGGGCGCCCAUCUUGCCAAGGACUUCCUCGUUCAGGAUCUCAGGGACCUUUAAUACGAUGGUGAGCAAAGAUGCAUGUGUGAAUUCAUUUCAUGAAAUCUUUCUCUACACACACUAGAUAGUUCUCGAGCCUGACGAGCAGAGCAUCACAGUGGGAGCUUGCACACUGUUGUCAACUGAUAAACAGGGUUGCUGAGACUGACCUGCCACACUUUAACCUCCACGCCUUCGACAGAUGAAGCACCUUUCUUGAUCUCAUCAGCUAGCUUAGCAACAUGACCAUACAUGGAGUAGUACCUGUCAAAAAUUGGUGAUGAUUUUACAUCUUACUUUUUAUUGACGUGCAAGAAGCAAGACACAAUGAUAUAUCUUGUCCCAUAAACAUCAACCGCUACUGCUUUUUGUUUACGCGUGUUUCAGAUAACUUAAGGAAACACGCUAGGCUGACAAAAGGAAUAAAGGAGAUCAUGAACCAACUAGUGUGUUACGCACGGCACUAAUGUUCAUCAAUUAACGAACUAUGUAAGACACCUGUGUCGAGAACUUCGCACCAGUAUAUUAUAUAACUACUUCACCUAAACUUAUGGCUGUAAGUUCUAUAUCUGGUGAUUGGUGAAAAGAGUUUGCCCCCACAGCCACUAAGAAAACAAAGUAAUCAUGUACAGGCAAAACAAUAAGUUUGAAAAUGAUGUCAAAAUGUCACGAAGGGUUUGGGGCAAACUGUCAAUCAAAGGUCUAAUUAGAAUAACCCAGGUGUUUCCCAUCUUUUAUCUAAAGGCUUCUAGAGGCUUACUUUUUGGUAGUUGGGCAAUCCCAUUCAGCAAGCAAAAUUUUAAAGCAUGGCCCAAUUAUAGACAGUGAUAGGGUGAUACAGGUUAGUUAUGUGCUUAUGGUUUCUGAUAGAUGUGACUUGAAAGAAAGACGAGUAAUGCGAAUUGAUAGAGAAACGCUGCUUGCCAAUAGCAGGAUGCAUCCAUUGCAUCGAGUACUGAACACUCAAAGAUGCUUGAAGACACUACUAGGUUGAAUCUGACCAGGAGUGACAUUCUUCAAAUGCUGAUGUGAGUUCUCACACUUUACGGAUUACUUGUAUUGCAUUCCAAUAUUCAGAAGGCCAGUGGACUUGCUCAUACUUUUUCGAUAAUAAUUAUGCACUGGUUACUUUUGUGCUUCAGAUAAGCUUUUAUUGAGACAGGCAUAAUUGUGGAAAAGCUAAAAGUCCAUGUUGGUGGUGUUGACACUAGGAAACAAUAAGAUUGAACACUGCUACAAGCAAAGAUCCAUCACAGGAGACAGUGGGGUUGUAGUGGAAAAUCCACAUCAAAAGAAAAUGGCCUUUUAAUUGCUGUGCUGCAACUGACAAAUUUGCAUAUGUAAGCUGAAAGAAGGCCACCAAAAUUUUAAUCAGCAGACUAUUUUUAAUAAACAGAUUCUUUUAAUAAGAAAACACACCAUUUAAAAAAGAAGGAAGAAACUCAGAGAUUUAUUUUAAAACGAGAGAAGGCAUAAACGACAAGUUGAUUAAACAUUUAGGCCAGUUCUCACCUAAUACACAAGUUCCACAUAGCACAAAACAAAUUAGAUUUGCAUCACACUGAUGUAUAUAUGAUUUCCGUCCUAUUUAAAGCACAAUAGAUUCCAUUCCAUCUUUUUUUAAAGGAGCUGUGGUCUGUCAUAUAAUAUGAUAUACAUCGCACUGGAAACCUGAGCAUCAUAUGCAGCCAUGACCCAUGAGUAGCUAUCCCUAUUAGUUGGUGGGAACAGGGUAAAUCGUAAAGACAUACUACUAGCAUAUUCUGCUAUGAAAUUCAUAUAGGAAACAUAGCCCAAAGCAACAACCAAACUAGGGACAGUCAACAACCUAGGUGAUGUUCUUCAGAAAGAUGGCAAUCAAGGCGUUGUUGACUGCACCCACUGCCACUGGUAACGGAAAUUGCUUCGAGAAGUCACCGAUGUCUGCCGGUGCGGCGGAUACUUCAGAGGUGCGCGUUUCACACGACAGGGAGGAAAAAAUUCAGAUAAAGGGGGACAGCGCAGGAUUACUAGUGCAGGAUCAGGUCCCAGUCCAUAUCCGGCAUCGAUCCCAUCACGGACCACCACCAGACCCACCACCGAUUAAAUCCACGAUUGAUGAUGCCCCCAUACAUACAGCUAAUAAUCGAGCACAGGUUAUCUGCGACUCUGAAGCCUGAACCCUCACCCCACCACUCGUUUCAGUUCACUGAACCUGGACUGAACCCUGACGCGAAUGAUCAAAACUACUACAAGAACCGCUCUAGAUGGAGGCGUCGACGGGCGGAGGGCCUCCCGAAGAAGAAUUGUGCACUGAUGGUCCGUGAUUGCCGAAUUUAAAAAAAAAAUCUAGGCAGAAUCAUCGACUGUCUGAAUUAACAACGUCUAGAAAUUCAGUUCCAUAGCACGCACGAGUGUGAAUGAAUUGUAAUGGGGGGCAACGAAAUUAAAGAGAUAGUGCUACUGGCAGGGAGGGAGCGGGUGCUUACACGACGUAGACCUUGACCGCCAUGGGAGGCGCGGCGGAGCUCCGCGGAUCUGAGAUCUGGUGGGGGGAGGAGGAGGAGGAGGACGGCUCCGGUUGUUUAAUGGGUUGGAGAUGGAAUGGAGGGGAGGGGAGGCAGUGGGCAGUGGGAGAGGAGGGGAAGGGAGGCCGGGAGCAUUUAUAGGCCGGCCGGGACGGGGUUGCCGUGCCGGUUGACCUCCGAGGUGUGGUGUGGUGAGGUCCCAACCAACUACAGCUCCUGCCAAGCGGAUCCGGGCACUGCCACUGCCACUUGUGCGUGUGAGUGACCGCUGCAGCGUCACGUGCUGCUCAUCCCUGGCCUCUGAAUUGUUUUUCCUUUUUAUUUUGGACAGCAGGCCUCAAACUUUUUUUCAUGUUAUUUUUCUGGGAAACCUUAUUAUAUUUGCAGCGAGUAGAAAUAUUUCUAGUACUCUCUUCACCAUCGUAUUGUGAUCGUCUUUUUUAAUUUGGACCGUCUCUGAGAACUUUGCCUCCUCAUCCCUCUGAGUGUUCGGCAGGUCCAUCCGUGGUCCUAAAUUAUUCAUUUUUCGCCAGCCGGACUCAAAUGUUAUUUCUAUUCUCUGCUCAUUCAGCGUAUGAUGAAUUAAUGAUUGUAGAGUUGGUAUUUUUGAAAAAAAGGAAAAAUGUAGAGUUGGUAAAUCUUCUUGAGUCUAGUCAAAUGUCAAAUGAUCUUCCCCUGAAGAAAUUUUUUCCCUGUCAAAACCCCAUAUCCAAUCCAGUAUACGAGGUGUCUUUGGCGGGUGUGCGUCCAUGGCUGAGAUAUCAUAAUUUGUUUGUUUUGUUCGUUCGUUUGCGGUAGAAGAUAGGAUAUGCAUGUACGCAUCCUUAUUAUAUAAGAGAAACCUGUUUUGUCUUUUAGUUUGUACUAAAAGAUAGGAUGUGCAUGUAAGCAUCCAUAGUUACACCCCGCAAAAAAAACUCAUAGUUACAAUAUCAUGUAAUAACAGUGGCGAAGCUAGAAAAUAAUCCAAUCCAGCAUACAAUGUAUCUUUAGUGGAGUCGCAAAAAAAAUGUAUCUUUGGUGGAUGCGUGUCCAUGGCUAAGANNNNNNNNNNNNNNNNNNNNNNNNNNNNNNNNNNNNNNNNNNNNNNNNNNNNNNNNNNNNNNNNNNNNNNNNNNNNNNNNNNNNNNNNNNNNNNNNNNNNNNNNNNNNNNNNNNNNNNNNNNNNNNNNNNNNNNNNNNNNNNNNNNNNNNNNNNNNNNNNNNNNNNNNNNNNNNNNNNNNNNNNNNNNNNNNNNNNNNNNNNNNNNNNNNNNNNNNNNNNNNNNNNNNNNNNNNNNNNNNNNNNNNNNNNNNNNNNNNNNNNNNNNNNNNNNNNNNNNNNNNNNNNNNNNNNNNNNNNNNNNNNNNNNNNNNNNNNNNNNNNNNNNNNNNNNNNNNNNNNNNNNNNNNNNNNNNNNNNNNNAUCCAGCAUACAAGGUAUCUUUGAUGGAUGCGUGUCCAUGGCUAAGAUAUCAUAAUUUGUUUGUUUGUGGUAGAAGAUAGGAUAUAUAUGUAAGCAUCCUUAUUAUCUAAGAGAAACCAUGGACAGAUUGUUUUGUCUUUUAGUUUGUACUAAAAGAUAGAAUGUGCAUGUAAGUAUCCAUAGUUACACCUCGCAAAAAAAAAACAUCCAUAGUUACGAUAUCAUGCAACAGUGGCGGAGCUAGAAAAUAAUCCAAUCCAGCAUACAGGGUAUCUUUGGUGGAUGCAUGUCCAUGGCUAAGAUAUCAUAAUUUGUUUGUUUUAUUUGUUUGUUUGUGGUAGAAGAUAAGAUAUACAUGUAAGAUCCUUAUUAUCUAAGAGAAAUCAUGGACCGGUUGUUCUGUCCUUUAGUUUGUACUAAAAGAUAGGAUGUGCAUGUAAGCAUUCAUAGUUACCAUAUCAUGUAGCAGUGGUAGAGCCAAAAAAAACAGAUUGAAGGGGUGCCAAGUGAUGUUAACACAUAUUGGGGAUGGUUUUAACAACAAGUAAUCAGUGAUCUAAUCUAAAAACCUGCAUGUUGGCCUGGAACCCAAGCCCCUGCUAGCCACCCCCUGCCUCCACCAUUGGGGCUGGGGGGGGGGGGGACAUGAAGGGUUGUGUGUGUGUGGGUAGGGUGAGGAGGAAAUGGAUUUAUUUUCUUCAAUAUAAUCCCUCCUAUAUUUUUGUUUAUUAUAUUGUUAUUGCCAUGGUAUUAUGGUUGUCUCCUUAAUUAUACUGUUACUCUGAGGAUUUUGCUACUUAAUUAGCUGAUUUUUAUACAAUUAGGAGAAGUGCUCAUAAAGUUAGGUGAUAGAAAAAAAUGCAAAAGAUAAUUAAGAUAUAUUGAUCACUGCUGCAUAUAUGACACUUUUAUUUUGAUGAAUAUUCUGAGAAGUCAGAUCAAUAUCUAGUUUGUCAACAAUGUGCUAAUUUUUUUGUGGCUAUAGUUGAACAACAAUCUAUAUGAUAAUAAGCUCGACACAUCAUAGUUCUGUAAUUGAAAUGUAAGAGUAGGUUGCCUCUGUAAUAGAACCUGCAAAAGAGUGCGUCAAGGGUUUGUGUGGUUAACGAUUAUUUAGGGAACCAAUUUUCCUUAAACUCAUAACAGACUAAAACUUUGUUUGUUCUCGUAUCUAGAUUUGGUUCUAGUAAAACCCUAAACCCGAGCUUUCGUUUUGUUAUAAAUGUUUUUAUAUUAUCCUCAACAACAUUGUUACUACUUACAAGGCCCUUAGUUUUCUCUGUGAUGCGCACGGGCAUAAUAGAUGAGGGUAGGAAAGUCACACAUGGAUUUGUAGAAAGCGGUUUAAGACUUUCCGAUUCCAAAUAAGAUUUUUCUGUAAUCCUAAUCUAACCAAACCAUUAUAGUAAAAUUUAUGCUCUGAAAAAUCUUCUUAAAAAGAGGUUUGCUAAAAAUCGAUUGCUAAAGUACAAUAGUUUUAUCCCUAGUUUCUAUCAUCGACCUUCAUAAGUUAGUCAUAAGUAACUGCCUUCGAAGAUUGCUACUAUGUGGAUCUUUUCUUUUGUAGAUAAUAAAAAUAAAUGUUUUUGUCCCUCGACUCUCACCCAAGUAUAAGUUUGAGAAGAACUCAAAUAUUAGACAUCUAUGACCGAAAGUGCCUUUCUGCUCCCGAGCUCAUUUGAGCUCGGUGAACAGUAAAAUCGAAAAAAAAUAAAAAAAAUUCAAAAAAUUCCAAAUUUUUUUUGGGAGAAACAUUGACAAAAGUUCUAAAUGCUUGCAAAAAUUCAUCAUGAAAUCACAUUCCUGUAAAGCGUGGCAAAAAAAACAAAUUCAGUGCUCCAAAAUGCUUUUGAAAGUAGUUUUUUCAGAGUACUGAUUUUGUUUUUUUUGCCACGCCUUCUAGAAAUGUGAUUUCAUGGCGAAUUUUUGCAAGCAUUUAGAACUUUUGUCAAUGUUUCUUCCAAAAAAAAUUUGGAUUUUUUUAAAAAAAAUUUGAUUUAGUUUUGAUUUUACUGUUCACCCGAGCUCAUUUGAGCUCGGGUGCAGAAACUCAUCUAUGACUCCUCAACUCCAACAUCAGACAUCCUUGGUCCCUCAACUGUCUAAACUAUGGAUACCUGCUUCAAGCUGUUUUAGAGAUGACACGGCGGCAUUGCCGCAGACAUGCCAACCUUGUUAAAAGUGGAGACAACAGAAAGGGUGCUGGUUGGCUAACGAGAUUAGGAAUUUUAGUUUUACGCACAGGAAAAUACUAUUAGACUUGUAAUGAAAAUAAUUCCGUAAUAUCUUUUUGUACCCGUUGUUCUACGGUAAAUUUUAAUUCCGUAAUAUCGAAAUAUAGAAGUCUUUAUUAGCAGAAUUAACACUCGGAAUUACAUAUUUGGAGACCACGUUCAAGUCUGGAAACAUCAUCUCUAUUUACGUACGAAUGGUGUAGCUCAGAGAGCAACAGCACGCCUUUUUUUCCUUUACGAAAAGGGGAGCUGAUAGGACUUUGCGUGGAGACGAGAGGUCCAAGGAGGCAAAGCGCUCUCCAUCUCCUUCUAGAACUGAAAUUGCGCGAAGACGGAGACGGAGCCCGUGUGGGUGAGGCUGAGGCUGAUAAUGUAGCCCAAUGUACUAUGUAACUGAAUGAUGUAGCUGAUGUUGGCGACAUGCGCAAGUGAUCUGACGAGCCUGCUCCAAGUACAGUACCUUGAGCAGCGAUUUUGGCGAGUAGCAUGCACCACGUACAGUACGUAUCAGGCGCAUCAAUCGAGCUUCAAAUAGAUAGAUUUGGCUCCUGUCACACCAUGGAAGAAGUUUCCGCAGAUGUCACCGUCGCCACCAACUCUGUGCUGCCCAACACGGUGGUCGCCGGACCUGACGUGGCCGGCAGCGGCAGGCGUGGUCCGGAGUGAGCCAGGGAUUUCAAGGGCCGGCUAACCACCAAGCAAUAGCAACUGGCUGAUCUAUCACCCGUCGGUCCAUGAAAAAUGUCGUCGGGAAUAGAUCACUGGCCGGACCAUCUCACCUGCAUUAUGGCCUGCACGGCGUCAUUCCGGACAAAAUUAAGCACGCAUUUUCGUUGGAGGAGCUAGGCAGCAAGCUGUGUGCAUCGUGGGCCAGGCGUGCAGGCCGAGUGAUCAUUCGCCCGAUCGGCUUCGUUCGUUCAUCGAACGUACGUAUCUUUGUUGUGAAGCAGCGUGCAGCUUGAUGAUGCGCGACGCAUGCGAACUCGCCGAGAAGGAAAGAAGGAGGAGAAGGAAGCCGUGGCACCGAUGGAUUGGCGCUGUGGUUAACUACUCUUUUCUCCUUUGCGCGUUCCUUCCUUGUCGGUCACUCGUCGAUCUGAUCUGAUCUGUCGCCGCUGAUGACAGUCGAUGUGGUGUUGUGUGCGUGCGUGUCCGAGUCGACGCGCUGCCGUGGGCUUCAAGGCUGCUCUGCCUAAGCUAUCUCGCAAUGAUGCACGUAUGCGCGCGCGGCGCGGCGCGUCACCGACGGACCGACCGCGUGCACCCAUCAUGCUCAUGCAUCAUCAUGGGUUUCUCUUUCUCCUGUCCUGCGUGUGCAUGGCCGUCUCCGGGACGCGCCAUCAUCGUACGCGCCGACUCUCCCGACUACGCAAGGAGGUGGGUGAGGUGAGGAUUAUUACUAUUUUUUUCUUUUGCGAGGUAAGGUGAGGAUUAUUAACUGAGGUGAAGAUGUUGUCGUGUGAUGGAAUGUGCCAGAAGUCCAUAUAUAGUCAAAAAAGAAAAAGACAUGAAGAAUAAAACAGUGGGGAGAUUGUCCGCUGCAGACGGAGUAGUAAAUUGUGUGCAGGGGUAGAAAGAAGAUACUCCCUCCUAUUAGUAUUACUUGUCGCUCAAAUGAACAUAUUUGCUAAAUACUUCUGUUUGAACGACACGUAAUAUGGAUCGGAAGAAGUAGGAAAAGAUUGAAAGAAGUUGGUAGGUUGCAAGGAGAAACAUGGACCUGACUCAAUAAGGAAGAAGCUUAAAAAAAAGACCCAAUAAGGAAGACCAGUAAAAAAACGAAAACAACCAAAAGACAUGUGGCACUACUUAUGGUUGGAUGGUUAGAGAGACUGUGGUAUCCCCAGCCCAUCAGAAUUCAAAUCCUGAUGCUCGCAUUUUAUUCCUGAAUUUAUUUCAGGAUUUCCGACGAUACACAUUCAGUGAGAGCAGACGUUCCCAAACAGGAGGACCACCGCAAUGGCGCAUCUUGAUCUGCAGGGACGGUGCCAAGGCUUGCCGCCAUAUCUAAAAGUUUCCGUCAAUAAACCUACUAGUACUUGUAAAACUUAACUAGAAUCAUACUGAUUCUGUGUGUGUUGGGCCUGAGUAAUUGAUGACUUGCUAGUGGCCCUGUUGCAUUGGUCUUGUGAGUACACCCAACGGACGAAUUAAAACAAGAAUUCACUUUGCUAAAAAAACACGAAUACACUAUCUAGGCGGCCAGCUCGUCCGUUUCUUUGGUUCAAAAAUCAUGCAAAGUGGAAAUCCAUGUGAAGACCUGAUCAUGCGCGGAAAUGGCAUCGGGCAGGACACGGACGCGGCGAGCAGAGAGCGGCGGCCACCGCCGGCCACUGAAUUGGCGAGGCAAGGACGCAAGCGCAACUGGUCACAAAAUAGUGCAGAAGAAGUGCAAGUAAAUAUUUAAAGUUAAUUUAGAAUUUGAAACUGAACUUCGAAUUUUUGAAGAAAAAAUAUUUCGUUGGCUGAAUAAGCUCCAAUUCUAGGGAUUCCCUCAUUAUUGAAAUUAACCAAUUAGUUUUUGGAUUUUGGUUGUACUUGUUAAACACAAAGUAAAUUUCUAGUAUUCUAGUGAGCUUGCAUCAUUGUAUUAUACAUGCAUGUUUUCUUCUUCAUAAAUCUUACCAAACCUAAAAAUUAUUUCUGCCUCCGACACUGUCGCCAUAGCAGGACAGUUUAGUGUAGCGAACAAGCUCAAAAUAUAUUGUACCAAACCGGAGGAUACUUUAGUGAAAAAUAAUUACACUAUUUGUGAAUUUUUUAAAUUUAUAUUUUUGAACACAUUUUUGAAACAUGAACAUUUUUGAUAAUUCUGAAGAAAUUUUGAAAGAAAUAAACAAUCUUAGAAAUUCCAAUCAUUUUUUGAAAAGAGAACAUUUUUUUGAGAACGCAAAAUUUUUUUGUAUAAGUCUCUACUACUUAAAAAGAAUGUAUUUCACUUUUUUCCACCACUCUUUGUCCAACCUUCCCCAUAUGAUAACCAAAUAUCUUAAUUUAUUUACCUUCUGUGCCAGUUUCAUUUUAAUUAGUUAUUAAACUUCUCAUCAAAAUAACAGGAAGAACUUGAUAAAUAUUUAUUUAUACAAUCAAAUUAAUAUGGGCAGGUAAAUCACAUGCUAAUUACUAAAAUAUGUAUAUCCCGUUGCAACUCAGGGGCAUUAUCCUACUCCCACAAAAAUAAAAUUUAUGAAAAAACAUGAAAACAAGAACAUUUAUUUAAAUUCCUGUAUAACUUAUAAAUUUGUGAACAAAUUUCAAAACACAGACUUUUUUGACAUUGUGAACAAUUUUUAAAUCUUUGAACAGUUUUUAAAUGGGAAAAUUUUCUAAAAUUUCUGAAAAAAGAAUAUCAGGAACACGAAAAAUAUUUUUAAUACGUCAACACUUUUAAAGGGGGGACUUUUUGGAAGAGAAAACAAGUAAAAACAGUAGGAAAAAGGUAAAAACCGGACAGAAACCUUCCGAACGUACGUGUUCUCAAAAUGGGCCCGCCCUAGGAGGACUACCUAGCGCAAGGUGGCGCCUAUUUGACGCGGCCGCCCAUGUGGGGCCGAGGUCCCCAGUUUUUAUUCUUUUUUCCUUUUAUGUUUCUUUUCUGUUUGUUUAUGUUUUUUAAUUUUUAAUUUAUUUUUAAUAUCCUUUUUUAUUCUUUUUUGUAUAUCUUAGGUAUUUUUUCUAAAAUCUUGAACAUUUGUUUUGCUCAAUGAAUUCAAAAAAUGUUCAUCUAAUUCAAAAAAUAUUUAUCAUAUUCAAAAUUUGUUUCAUCAUUUUCAAAAUUUCUUCACCAUAAUUCAAUAAAAUGUUCAUCCAGGUUUCAGAAAGUUCAUCCAAUUUUCUAAAAAGUAUUCUUGAAUUGAGAAUUUGUUCAUUAAGUUCAAAAAAUGAACAAUAUUAAUCUAAUUCGAAAAAGGUUCAUCUUCUUUAAAAAAAUUAUCGUAUUCAAAAUUUCUUUAUCAUAAUUUUUAAAAAUAUUCAUCAAGUUCAGUAAAGGUUCAUCCAUUUUUGAAAAUUUUAAUCUGAUUUUUUUCAGAAAUUGUUCUUCAAUUAUGAAUUUGCUCAUAAAAUUCAAAUUUUGUUCAUCUAAUAAGAAUGUUCAUGAAUAUGCAGAUUCACGAACAAUUUUUCAAAUUCUUGAACAUUAUUCCAGUUCAGGGAUAUUUUUGGGCUCCACAAACUUUUUUGAAAUUGGCGGUUUUUUGAUUCCAGAAAGUUUACUAAAUACCGAAUUAUUUAUAAAAGAAAAAAUAAAAAUAAAAAAGAAAUAAGAGGUUAUAGGGCUCCCAACUGCCGCUCAUGGGCUUGCCCAAGAUGGGCGCGUGGGUGCAGCGGGGUGUGCGCGCGCGUCCACUCCCUGCUGCGUGCUGCGCCAUAUAGGAGCUCCCCAUCCAUUUGACCACAAGGGCGAACUGUUGUGUGGUAAAUGGGUUGGCCAACACGGGAGGAAUGCUGGGGAGCAAUUAGUUGACAAACGCUUCUUCGGAAGCUUCACAACGAUCAGUGCCAUUUGACGCAUUCUCAGCCAUUCGCCACGUGUCGUGCUCCGGACGCUCUCUUCGGAUUUUGUUUUUUUAUUUUUCCGCAUGCGUUUUCGGCUUUUUAAAUGAUUUUUUUGGAUUUUUUUGACGUUUCGGUUUUUCACCGGUCUUCCUUAGCUUUUGGACAAAAAAUUGGGAACAAUAUUUUUCACGAAAAAACGCAUUUUUUUCGUGGGAGUCCCGGUUUUGCUUCCGCUAGAGGCACGUUUUUGCUUUCACGAGAGUCACGGCCGUGCCUCUCGGAAACGGGAAAAGACGCGUUUUUUGACGAGAGGCACGGUUUUGCUUCCGCGAGAAGCAUGGUUGUGUGCUUUCGCGAGAAGCAUGGUCGCGCCUCCUCGAAAAUGAAAAAACGCGUUUUCUCUUCGUUUUUUCCUUCCGCAACAGACACGAUUGUGAUUUUGUGAGAGGCACGGACGUGCCUCUUUCGAAAAGGGAAAAAACAUAUGCUCCAGAUUUGGUUUUUUCGUCUGAUUUUUUGUCCGGUUUUUUCGUCUGAUUUUUUGUCCGGUUUUUUCGUGAAAAAAAAUUCUUCAAAACCUAUCAACAUGAGAUCCAAUUUGAAGAUCUCAAUGCGAUGAAUCUAACGGUGAAAGCAGUUCAAAAUUUGGACGCACGGUUUAAGAGAUAAAACAUUUUAAAUAAAUUGAUCUAUGAAAAAAGGGAAAACUUUCAGGUUGCAACAAGUGAGUACUCCUUAAUUAGUGAUUUCGGGAAUGCUGGCCAUUGGGCACUUGAUAAAUGGGCGGGCCAACUGGGAGGAAGGCAGGCUCGCUAUUGCACGUUCUAUUUUUUUGUCUAAUUACUAUACUUUUACUUAUAUUCUGUCCCCUAAAAAACUUAUAUUUAUGAAAAUAUUCUCAAAAAAAACUUACAUUUUUUAAACGGCAAAAAAUAUUAUAUUUAUAUUUUGAAAAUGUUCAUGCCUCCAUUAAAUAAUGUUGGUAGCGUUGGAAAAAAUGUGCGUGGCAUUCAAAAAUUGUUCAUGCAUUUUAAAAAUAUGUUUGUGACAUUUUUGGUGUAAAAUGGUAACACAAUGUAAAGAAAACGUUUGCAUGAUUUUAAAAAAUAUUUUGUACCGUUAAAAUAGCGUUCUUGGUAUUUAAAAAUUUAUUCACAUGAUUCGAAGAUAUGUUUCUCAUAUUUUUUAUAACAUUUAUUACAACCAAAUGUUCGACUGAUUUACAAAACAAUUGUACAAUUAAAUGUUUUUUGAUGAUAUUUAUAAAUAUGUUCACAUGUUUCAAAAAAAUCAUCAUAUUGUUGGGAAUUUUUGUAAUACAAAAAAAUUGUCAAGUAAUUUAGAAAAAAAGUCAUACGGUUGUAAAAAUAUUAAUGAAGUUCAAAAGAUAUUUAUGCAUAACAAAAAAUGUUCAAGAAUUUGUUUUUUAAUUUUUAAUACAAUACAAAAAUUGUUCUCUUAUUUUGUUUGAACGUAAUUACCAUUAAAAAACGUUUAAUGCAUGUUUGGAAAAUCUUUAACAUUUAUUCGAAAACAUGUUUAUCUUUUGUUUUCAAAAUAUUUAACAUGUAUUCAAAAAUAAUGCUGAAACAUGUAUUUGAAAAAAUAUUAAUCGUGUAUUUGAGAAAUGUUCAACGUGUAUCAAAAAAAAUGUUUCAUGUCUAUACGAAACAUUUAUGACUUGUAUUAAAAAACAAUACCUAUAUUUGAAACCCUGUUCAAGAAUUCAUCCAAUUAACCAGUUGACUUGCCGAUUAAUCCCUACUCAUAGGGUCACCGAGUAGCCGAUAAACCAAAAAAUCAUCCAAUUAAUUGAUUAAAUGUCUGAUUAACUUGCCGAUUAGCCAAUUAAUCCCUUACUCGCUAAUCAAUCGAGCAACUACCAGUUAACGAUUUCCUCAACAAUGAUUUGAAAAGACAAAAUUGAAAAGAGAGUAAAACAAAUGUAAAGUUGUAAACCAAUAAAAGAAACAUAGAAAACAGAAGAAAAUAAAAUGUAUAGAAGUUUCUAAAACCAGUCCAAAUCAGUCUAUAAAACCUUCUCAAACCCGCUUUAAUGGGCAAUCCCACUAAAGCGAGCAUGCCUCCAGCGCCACCAGAGGAGAGGUAUCUCUCAGAAAAAAAACAGAGGAGAGGUGGAGCUAUGUCUCGCUUCGCGAAAGGCCUAGCCUAGUGUAUACCAAAACCCCUAUUUCUAACGAAGAUUACAUUCUCAUGUUUCACCACUUGUUUCCACAGCUUCAGCUAUUCAAUCGGUGACCGCCACGCGAAUUAAUUUGGGACAUAAGCAGGUACGAUCUUGUGUGGACGUAGCAGCUGUCGCGCAAAUUUCAUUAACGUGCGGGGCAUGCUUGUGUGCGUACUCAGGUGCCCGUAGCGAUCUGUUCCGAUCCUAUGUUCAUCCCCUGUGUGUUGAGUUGUCUCUGGUCUGGAAGGCUCUGUAUCCAUCCCGAACCACGCAGCCCACCGCCCCGCCGCCCACCACGCAACUGCCUGCCACUACUCCAUUGCUAUGUACGGGUAUAAAAAUCCUCCCCACCUCUCCUUUCGAGCUCACCACUACGCAUGAGCGCGUCAACUAUGCCUAAACCCGUUCUCCCCAACCUGGUUGCCGGCCAAUGCCUUGCCGAAGCCGCCAUGUUACGAUCAAACUACAACUGGCAGCACACCAAGUAGAGUUUAGAUCAAUUCAUCUCAGAAUAAGAAGGAUUGAAGAUAGAGGGUAGCAGCCAGAGAGGGGAAAAUAGAGUUUACAACUCAGUUCUUUUUCUUCUUAUCUCCACUGCGGCCCUUUUUCCUAAUACAUAGCCAAGCUGCUGGAAUCUGGACGCAGCCAGCUCACGCACGCGCACCACACGUGACUUCACUUGGGCUCAUCUUGGGCUCGUCUCGUUCCUGUCGGCCUACUUCUAUACUGGACGAUGUGGGCUGGUCCAUAUCUGUGACACUGCCUCCCCCUUUGGAACCUGCUUGACCCCAAGCGGUCGCAUUGGGAUAAUCUUGCAAGAGACGCUCCUUGUUCUCCCAGGUAUGCCAAGCAGCAGGCAAGGAAGACCAUUGCACGAGUACAAGCAAUGUAGAAAAUGCUCCAGUCUGAAUUUGUUUGGUAUCCAGAAUGUGAAGAGGGAAUAUACCUGCCUCCAUUGAUGUACAAGCAGCUGGGAGAUCCACCUCAGGAGUAACUUGAGCUGGAAUAGCCUUUUUCAAGAGUGAAACAUGGACCACAGGAUGAAUAAGACUACCUUGUGGUAACUGCAGUUUGUAGGCAACAGUACCCACUUUUUGAAUGAUUUUGUAAGGCCCAAAGAAUUUGUAACUCAACUUCUGGUUUGAGCGUCGUGCAAUAGAAGUUUGAACAUAUGGUUGUAACUUUAAAUAAACAUCUUCCCCCACUUGGAAAGAACGCUCAACGCGCUUUUUAUCUGCCUGGCUCUUCAUUCGUUGUUGAGCUCGAAGAAGUUGUUGCUGAAUUAAAGCAUUCAUAUCCGCUUUGUCUUUGAGCCACUGCUCUAAAUCAGGAGGGGAAACAGCAGAACUAUCUUGAAUACUGAAGUGUUUUGGCUUAUACCCAUAGAGUACUUCGAAUGGAGAUUUGCCAAGUGCUGAAUGCCAUGUGGUAUUAUACCAGUACUCCGCUAAAGAUAUCCAACGAGACCAUUUGGUGGGGCAUGCUUGAGUCAUACAUCGCAAAUAUGUUUCAAGACACUGGUUCAAACGCUCGGUUUGACCAUCAGUUUGAGGGUGAUAGCUUGAACUCAUAUUCAAGGUUGUAUCUGUGAGUUUGAACAACUGUUGCCAGAAUGUGCUUGUAAAUAUCUUAUCCCUAUCUGAUAUGAUAACCUUAGGGAGACCAUGCAACUUGUAAAUAUUGUCAACAAAUAACUGGGCAACAGAGGCAGCUGUAUAGGGAUGGGACAGAGGUAGGAAAUGUCCAUACUUUGUGAAUUUAUCAAUAAUGACCAGAAUGGUGUCGUACCUUGCUGACUUUGGUAAACCCUCAAUAAAGUCCAGACUAAUAAUAUCCCAGGCCUUCUCCGGUAUAGGCAAAGGUUGUAAUAACCCAGGGGUCCUAAUGUGCUCUGACUUUGCUUGUUGGCAAACUGUGCACCUGGAUAUAUAGUUAAUGACAUCAUUUUUCAGUUGCGGCCAAGCAAACAGACUUUUAACCUUGUUAUAGGUUGCUGUGAUUCCACUAUGACCACCAAUGCCACUAGUAUGAAGUGCCAACAUGAUAGCUUGCUUUGCUUCUUGAUGGUUUCCUAACCAAAUGCGGUCAUUGUACUUGAUAACACCAUCAUGCAAAGAGUAACCUUGAGCAUCAGGGCUAGAUAUACUCAACUGGGUCAAUAAUUGUUUAGCCUGAGGGUCCUGCAAGUAGCUCUCAACGACAACCUCCAACCACUUAGGCUUACUGACCGAAAUUGCUAUUAAUUCUUGUGAGCCUUGACAACGAGAUAAUGCAUCGGCAACCGAAUUGUUGGAGCCUUCCUUAUACUUGACUUUGUACUGCAAUCCCAAAAGUUUGCAGAAUGCCUUAUGCUGAAUCGAAUUGGUCAAUUGUUGAGUCUCGAGGUGAACCAAUGUUUUAUGAUCGGUGUAGAUAGUAAAUUCACGAUGCUGUAAAUAAGGUUUCCAUUUCUCCACUGCCAUAAUAAGCGCGAGACACUCUUUCUCAUAGGUGGAUAGAGCUUGUGUGCGAGGGCACAAGGAUCUACUUAGGUAAGAAAUCGGAUGGCCUUUCUGAGAAAGAACUGCACCAAUUCCCAUCCCUGAAGCAUCAGUAUGAAUAUCAAAGGACACCUUAAAAUCUGGCAAAGCCAAGACAGGGGCUUGCAUGAGGGCCAAUUUCAAGGCUUGAAAAGCUGCACCCCUUGUGCUAGUCCAUGUGAAUUGCACAUUCUUCUUUAGUAACUCAGUGAGAGGACGACUUAUUGUACCAUAGUGAGCAAUGAAUUUUCUAUAGUAUCCAGCAAGGCCAAGAAAUCCUCGUAAUUGCUUCACAUUGGAGGGUGUUGACCAAUCCUUAAUAGCUUGUAUUUUAGCUGGGUCGGUGGCUACUCCAUCUGCACUAAUGAUAUGCCCAAGAUAUUCCAAAGAUGGUUGUGCGAAGGAACACUUAGAGGCCUUGAGGUAUAAUUUGUUCUGCUGUAGGAUCUGAAACUCUUGCUUUAACAACAUAUUAUGAGCGUCCAAGGUAGGUGCAUAUAUCAAGAUAUCAUCCAUAAAGAUAAGAACUCCUUUGCGUAGAAGAUGUGCAAAUAAGACAUUCAUAGCCUUCUGAAAGGUAGCCGGGGCAUUUGUAAGGCCAACGGGCAUAACCCUGAAUUCCCAAUGCCCAUGAUGUGUCUUGAAAGCGGUUUUAUAUUCUUCCCCAUCAACUAGCCAGAUUUGAUGAUAACCACUGCGAAGGUCAAGUUUGGUGAAAUAUUGCGCACCACAAAGCUCAUCCAAUAGCUCAUCAACAAUAGGUAUUGGGUAUUUAUUUUUCACUGUCAAUUCAUUGAGGUAGCGAUAAUCUACACAUAAACGCCACCCUCCAUCUUUUUUCUUCACCAAGAUUACUGGAGAAGCAUACGGGCUAGAACUAUGUGUAAUGACACCACGAUCAAGCAUCUCUUUGAUUUGUCUUUCCAAUUCAUCCUUCUGUGAUGGAGCAUACCUAUAUGGUUUCUUCUGCACUGGAAUAGCACCCGGAAUCAGUGGAAUGGAGUGAUCGAAAGAACGUGCUGGUGGCAAGUCAGUGGGCUCUGUAAAUGUUUCAGCAUGCUCAUCAAGUAAGGCCUGUGUAGAUGGAGGUACAACAAAAGCUCCCUUGACAUAAGUGGCAGGACACAACUGAAUAAGCUGGGCCACAGCACCUUGGUUCACCAUUUGAUAUAAUUGUUUGGUGGAAACUGCAGGGCAAUAGGUAGUGUUAUCAUUAAUGCCACGCAAUGUAAUGCGCUUGCCUUCAUGAUUAAAUCUCAGCUUCUUGCGCCUCCAGUUAACCCACAUUUCACCAUUGCCAAUGUCCUCUAACCAGUCCAUACCUAAAAUGAUGUCAUAUCCUUGCAACGCCAACACGCGCAUAUCAGCUGUGAACUUAUGUUGUUGGAUGCCCCAUGUUAGCCCUGAAAUGCCAGUGUUGCUUAGCAUAGUGGAGCCGUCAGCAAUAGCCACUCGAACAGGAGAUAAUUGUUGUACAGGAAUUUGAAGAGCUUCAACCACAUUUGAAUUAAUAAAAUUUCCAGAACUUCCCGAGUCGACCAAAAUCAGUACUUGGCACUUGCCAAUGUAGCCUUGCAGACGAAGUGUUUUCUUUCCAGUAGUACCUUGUGUCGCUGCAGCUGACAAACUGAAAACUUCCUCACUAGUAUCACUAUCCGACUCUAUGGGCUUUGCAUCACUUUCAGACUCAGCUUCCACUUGCAAAGCUUGACAUAAUUCUUCAGCAACCAAUAAAGACACUUAUUGAGGGCAUUUAUGACCUGGUGCAUAUUUCCCUCCACACUUGAAGCACUCACCACGGGCACGUCGUUGAGCUUUCAGUUCGGCAAGCUGUACAGUAGCAGCUUUAGCUUCUGUCCAUUUUGCAGCCCCUUCACUAACAUGUGCUUCAGCAGGAUGAGGUCCCAAUUUUCCUGGUCCAGCCUGGUUAUGCCAUUUCUUAGGUUCAUAACGAGGACGGCGGUAAUCAUUUAACUAAGCUUCCUGCAAUAAGGCUAGAGAAAUAGCCGCAUCAACUGUCCUUGGUUUAUGCAAAACCAGAGCGGAACUAAUCUCUUUUUUUAAUCCUUUAAGAAACUUUGUUACAAAAAAGGUAUCAUCAAGAGCAGAGUUGUGUGUAAGCAACUGAUGCAUGAGUAACUCAAAUUCCCUAUGGUAACUCUCGACAUCACCUGUUUGUCUAAUUUCUAGUGUUUUAGUCAUAUUGGUGUAGUACAAAUUCUUACCAAAUUUCUGACACACAGCAACACACAAUUGAGGCCAACUAUUGAUGUCAUGGUUGGCUUCGUAGGUCUGAAGCCACAUAGCUGCUGUAUUAAUGAAAUGUAAUGUUGCAUAGUCCACUUUAUAGUCUUCAGGGACAUGAAACAUAUGGAAAUACUUUUUAGCCUUAUCUUUCCAUAUCUUUGGGUCUGUACCAUCAAACUUAGGGAAUGAAGUUUUGGGCAUAUGAAAAUCACGAGACUGAUCUCUAGUAUUCCUAUCAUGCCUAAAACCCAAAUUAUCCUCAUGUAGUGCAGUACGGAGAUGAGAUGGACCAGAUUCAUGCUGGUUUUGAGAGAGGCGAAACGCACCAUUGCCCAGGACAUGCCCUUGAGCAUUGUCCUGGUUUGCAAAUUCUUCACGGCGCCCACCUGGGCCAGGAGUUCGUGUAGCAGUAGCUAUAGUGCCUUCCAAUGAGGUAAGACGCACACUGAAACCCUCGACUUGAGUCUCCAAGACGGCCACCUUGUUGGAGACAUUUUCAUUAGCCUUGAGAAGCCGCUCGGUGGUGAUUUGCAGCGCUUGACAGCUCGUCGCCGUUUGGGUUACCGUAUCAGCUGUCUUGUUAAGCGUUUCUGAGGUCUUGGUGAGGCCAAUAAUGAGAUCACCAAGGGUGGACUGCAUCUGCUCCAUCGUCAUUGUCGCCGUAGCGACCUGGCCUUCGAUGAUAGUCAUCCGCUGCGUCAGCGUCGAGGGACGAGGUCCAUGCGCCGUGGUGUCGAAGCUCCAGACGCCAAGGUCUACCGCCGCCUAGACCAAUGAGUACUAAGAUUGUGUCCCUUUUCCUCUACCAAUUGGUCUGAUUACGCCGCCUGAACCACGCAAAUCCGGCAGAUCGACAGGAAUUUUACAACUUGUGCAAAGGGACGCACAGGGAACCUUCAAUCAUCGUCGAAUUCGUAGCCGAAUGUAUCGCCGCCGCCACGAACGCCGCCACCGGUGCCGCUCGAAAAUCACCGCAGCCACCACACCGCCGCCGCGAGAGAUGAGCGAGGUUGGGGAUUCUAUGGGAGAUCCCAACCCAACCACCUCAAACCCUCGAUUCGCCGCCACAGCCGCCGAAUCUGGGACGAAAUCAGGAGGUUGUGCACAGAAAAAAUUCUGGCUAUUUUUGUGGAUUUUCUCUAAAAUUGGGGAUAACUGAUCCGAAGAUCGAAGGCUCUGUAUACCAUUUGUUACGAUCAAACUACAACUGGCAGCACACCAAGUAGAGUUUAGAUCAAUUCAUCUCAGAAUAAGAAGGAUUGAAGAUAGAGGGUAGCAGCCAGAGAGGGGAAAAUAGAGUUUACAACUCAGUUCUUUUUCUUCUUAUCUCCACUGCGGCCCUUUUUCCUAAUACAUAGCCAAGCUGCUGGAAUCUGGACGCAGCCAGCUCACGCACGCGCACCACACGUGACUUCACUUGGGCUCAUCUUGGGCUCGUCUUGUUCCUGUCGGCCUACUUCUAUACUGGACGAUGUGGGCUGGUCCAUAUCUGUGACACGCCAUCACCCAUCUUCUCUGGUUGUCGGUCGAGUCAGAGGGGCUGCUUAAGCGGGAGAUAUCCCGACUCAAGCGCCGAUGACACGUCACCGGGUUCUCACCAUCUCUCCCCCCUCACUCCCCUUCUCUCUUCCCCCCCCCUCCCCCGCCGCUCGAUUUCGCUCUAUCAUUGAUGGUCCUUCUGCCGCUGCGGAGAUCAGUAGCACUUUCAUCACUAGCGGCGGUCAGGCAAAAUCAGUGACCUCACAUGAGGGUAGCAGCGUAGUUACAGCGUAGUUACAGGCCAUCUGCUGUCGUGAUCCGGUGUGGGAGGAAUCGCUGUGGAGGCUUCUCCCCCGUUCCCUACCACCGCAACUGUGGCCUGCCCCCCCGAAGCAAACCCUCAACUCAGUCGAGCCCCGUGCCAGAGAGUGGUCUAGGCCAUGAACAUCCCUCUUUGUUCAACUUCUUUGGUUGCCUGCCGCUAUAUGGGCAGCGCUUGAAAGCAGAUCGAUCUGGGUGAGGCGGAGAAAAAAAUUAGUCCUACAAUGUUCCUAGCCUCUUCUUCAACAAUCGAUUACUCUUCCGCUGGAGACGACUAUUAAUUCCACUUCUCUCUUUUCUUUACAUUCCAUAAAUAAUGUUAUUGUCUAUUAUUUCUUAUUACACUAUUUUUUCUGUUUCAGUGAGGAGCUUGAAAGAAUGGAUCUCAACCGCACUAUAUGAAGCUUCGGGAGGGAAGGAAAGACUAAGAGUGCUCAGCGGAAUCAUAGGAGCUCUUGGAGCAUGCACAUGCGACUGGAUGCAACAGGCGAGCUCAAACUGCUUGAGUUCGUCGGCCAUGGCGGCGGCCGUUCUCGGAGCUCGCGGGGAUGACGCUAUAGUGCAAAUUAAAGCAGAGGAGAUGGGGGAAAUCAAAGAGGGAGAAAACGACCCGAGAAAGAUUGCAACAAGACCAUUGUUGUAGAUAAAUGAGCGCAAUAUUGAGUUUGUUGCAGAGAUCAACGACUACUUGACACUCCAUCCAACGGCUACUGAGACGGCCGAUCUUUUCAGAUUAUCCGUCGAUCAACGCGUAGCGCUGCCCUUAUUACAUUGGAAUGGUGAUUUUCUUGAUAAAACAACAAUGUGACAUAAAACUCCAACCAAAAUGGUGCUUCAGUCCGAUGGCUUCUACAUUUCCAUAUCCUAGAAGGUCACACAAGAAUUAUAUAGUGAAGUCAUGACCAGGGUCUUUUACAGGAGUUCUUGUACAUCACUCUCCAUAUCGGCACCUUUAACCCCUAUGUGAACAAAUGAAAAGUUUCCAUGUUAAAAAUUCUAUCUAUAUAAUUCAUAUAUCCACAUAUCCAUUGCUCGACUCAUAGUUUCUAGCAUAUUCAAGUACUCUCUCUGUUCCAAAAAGUAUUUCAAUUUUGUACUAACUUUAGUACAAAGUUAUACUAAAUUUGAGACACUUGUUUUGAUAUGGAGAAAAUGUUGGAAAUAUGCCCUAGAGGCAAUAAUAAAUUAGUUAUUAUUAUAUUUCCUUGUUCAUGAUAAUCGUUUAUUAUCCAUGCUAGAAUUGUAUUGAUAGGAAACUCAGAUACAUGUGUGAAUACAUAGACAGUACCAUGUCCCUAGUAACCCUCUAGUUGACUAGCUCAUUGAUCAAUAGAUGGUUACGAUUUCCUGACCAUGGACAUUGGAUGUCGUUGAUGACGGGAUCACAUCAUUAGGAAAAUGAUGUGAUGGACAAGACCCAAUCCUAAGCCUAGCACAAGAUCGUGUAGUUCGUAUGCUAAAGCUUUUCUAAUGUCAAGUAUCAUUUUCUUAGACCAUGAGAUUGUGCAGCUCCCGGAUACCGUAGGAAUGCUUUGGGUGUACCAAACGUCACAACGUAACUGGGUGGCUAUAAAGGUGCACUGCGAGUAUCUCCGAAAGUGUCUGUUGGGUUGGCACGAAUCGAGACUGGGAUUUGUCACUCCGUGUAACGGAGAGGUAUCUCUGGGCCCACUCGGUAGGACAUCAUCAUAAUGUGCACAAUGUGACCAAGGAGUUGAUCAUGGGAUGAUGUGUUACGGAACGAGUAAAGAGACUUGCCGGUAACGAGAUUGAACGAGGUAUCGGGAUACCGAUGAUCGAAUCUUGGGCAAGUAUCGUACCGACAAAGGGAAUUGUAUACGGGAUUGAUUGAAUCCUUGACAUCGUGGUUCAUCCGAUGAGAUCAUCGUGGAGCAUGUGGGAGCCAACAUGGGUAUCCAGAUCCCGCUGUUGGUUAUUGACCGGAGAGUUGUCUCGGCCAUGUCUGCAUGACUCCCGAGCCCGUAAGGUCUACACACUUAAGGUUCGAUGACGCUAGGGUUAUAGGGAAACUAUGUACGCGAUUACCGAAUGUUGUUCGAAGUCCCGGAUGAGAUCCUGGACGUCACGAGGAGUUCCGGAAUGGUCCGAAGGUAAAGAUUUAUAUAUCGGUAACGUACCGGGACCACCGGGAGGGUCCCGGGGGUCCACCAGGUGGGGCCACCAGCCCCAGAAGGCUACGUGGGCCAAGUGUGGGAGGGGACCAGCCCCAGGUGGGCUGGUGCACCCCCCACCAAGGCCCAAGGCACGUGGAGAGUGGGAAGGGGGCAAACCCUAGGUCCAGAUAGGCCGUAAGGCCCACCCUAGGGAGCCCCCCUCUCCUCUCCCCUUUGGCCGCCACCCUAGAUGGCAUCUAGGGCUGCCGCCACCCCUAGGGAUGGAACCCUAGAUGGGGGCGCAGCCCCUCCCUUCCCCCUAUAUAUACUUGAGUUAUUGGGGGCUGCCCAACACAUAAUUUGAUCUCCCUCUUGGCGCAGCCCUACUUCUCUCCCUCCUCGUCUCUCGUAGUGCUUGGCGAAGCCCUGCUGGAGUCCCGCGCUCCUCCACCAUCACCACACCGUCGUGCUGCUGUUGGACGGAGUCUUCCCCAACCUCUCCCUCUCUCCUUGCUGGAUCAAGGUGCGGGAGACGUCAUCGGGCUGUACGUGUGUUGAACGCGGAGGCGCUGUUGUUCGGCGCUUAGAUCGGAAUCGACCGCGAUCUGAAUCGCUGCGUGUACGACUCCACCAACCGCGUUCUUGUAACACUUCUGCUUAGCGAUCUACAAAGGUAUGUAGAUGCACUCCCCUUCCCCUCGUUGCUAGAUUACUCCAUAGAUUGAUCUUGGUGAUGCGUAGAAAAUUUUAAAUUUCUGCUACGAUCCCCAACAGUGGCAUCAUGAGCUAGGUCUAUGCAUAGUUUCUAUGCACGAGUAGAACACAAGUUGUUGUGGGCGUCGAUUUUGUCAAUUUACUUGUCGUUACUAGUCUUAUCUUGAUUCGGCGGCAUCGUGGGAUGAAGCGGCCCGGACCGACCUUACACGUACUCUUACGUGAGACAGGUUCCACCGACAGGCAUGCACUAGUUGCAUAAGGUGGCUAGCGGGUGUCUGUCUCUCCCACUUUAGUCGGAUUGGAUUUGAUGAAAAGGGUCCUUAUGAAGGGUAAAUAGAAAUUGGCAUAUCACGUUGUGGUUUUGGUGUAGGUAAGAAACGUUCUUGCUAAGAAACCUAUAGCAGCCACGUAAAAAUCUGCAACGACAAUUAAAGGACGUCUAACUUGUUUUUGCAGCAUAUGCCGUGUGAUGUGAUAUGGCCAAAAGGAUGUGAUAAAUGAUAUAUGUGAUGUAUGAGAUUGAUCAUGUUCUUGUAAUAGGAAUCACGACUUGCAUGUUGAUGAGUAUGACAACCGGCAGGAGCCAUAGGAGUUGUCUUAAUUUAUUUAUGACCUGCGUGUCAACAUAAACGUCAUGUAAUUACUUUACUUUAUUGCUAAAACGUUAGCCAUAGUAGUAGAAGUAAUAGUUGGUGAGGCAACUUCAUGAAGACACGAUGAUGGAGAUCAUGAUGAUGGAGAUCAUGGUGUCAUGCCGGUGACGAUGAUGAUCAUGGCGCCCCGAAGAUGGAGAUCAAAAGGAGCAAAAUAAUAUUGGCCAUAUCAUGUCACUAUUUGAUUACAUGUGAUGUUUAUCAUGUUUUACAUCUUAUUUGCUUAGAACGACGGUAGCUUAAAUAAGAUGAUCCCUCGCAAUAAUUUCAAGAAAGUGUCCCCCCUAACUGUGCACCGCUGCGAAGGUUCGUUGUUUUGAAGCACCACGUGAUGACCGGGUGUGAUAGAUUCUAACGUUCGCAUACAACGGGUGUAAGCCAGAUUUACACAUGCAAUACACUUAGGUUAACUUGACGAGCCUAGCAUGUACAAACAUGGCCUCGGAACACAGAAGACCGAAAGGUCGAACAUGAGUCGUAUAGAAGAUACGAUUAACAUGAAGAUGUUCACCGAUGAUGACUAGUCCGUCUCAAGUGAUGAUCGGACUGUUGGAAAUAUGCCCGAGAGGCAAUAAUAAAUUAGUUAUUAUUAUAUCAUAUUUCAUUUUUCAUGAUAAUCAUUUAUUAUCCAUGCUAGAAUUGUAUUGAUAGGAAACUCAGAUACAUGUGUGGAUAAAUAGACAACACCAUGUCCCUAGUAAGCCUCUAGUUGACUAGCUCGUUGAUCAAUAGAUGGUUACAGUUUCCUGACCAUGGACAUUGGAUGUCGUUGAUAACGGGAUCACAUCAUUAGGAGAAUGAUGUGAUGGACAAGACCCAAUCCUAAGCCUAGCACAAGAUCGUGUAGUUCGUUUGUUAAAGCUUUUCUAAUGUCAAGUAUCAUUUCCUUAGACCAUGAGAUUGAGCAACUCCCGGAUACUGUAGGAGUGCUUUGGGUGUGCCAAACGUCACAACAUAACUGGGUGGCUAUAAAGGUACACUACAGGUAUCUCCGAAAGUGUCUGUUGGGUUGGCACGAAUCGAGACUGGGAUUUGUCACUCCAUGUAAACGGAGAGGUAUCUCUGGGCCCACUCGGUAGGACAUCAUCAUAAUGUGCACAAUGUGAUCAAGGAGUUGAUCAUGGGAUGAUGUGUUACGGAACGAGUAAAGAGACUUGCCGGUAACGAGAUUGAACAAGGUAUCGGGAUACCGACGAUCGAAUCUCGGGCAAGUACAAUACCGCUGGACAAAGGGAAUUGAAUACGGGAUUGAUUGAAUCCUCGACAUCGUGGUUCAUCCGAUGAGAUCAUCGUGGAACAUGUGGGAGCCAACAUGGGUAUCCAUAUCCCGCUGUUGGUUAUUGGCCGGAGAGUUGUCUCGGUCAUGUCUGCAUGGUUCCCGAACCCGUAGGGUCUACACACUUAAGGUUCGGUGACGCUAGGGUUAUUAGGAAGACUUGUAUGUGAUUACCGAAUGUUGUUCGGAGUCCCGGAUGAGAUCCAAGACGUCACUAGGAGUUCCGGAAUGGUUCGGAGGUAAAGAUUUAUAUAUGGAAAGUUGUUGUUCGGGUUCCGAGAAAACUUCGGUUUUUUUCGGUAUUGUACCGGGAAGCUUCCGGAAGGUUCCGGAGGAUUCCGGAGGGGUCCGGAGGUCUGGAAAAUGUUCCACCACGUCCAAUACAACAGCAUGGGCUGUAGGGGGGCGCCCUAACCUUAAUGGGACAAGGGCACCAGCCCCCCCAAGGCCCAUGCGCAUGGGAGAGGGGAAACCCUAAGGGGGAGGGCCUCCACUUGACUUGGGAGGCACUCCUCCCCCCCUUGGCCGCCGCCCCCAACCCUAGAUGAGAUCUAGGGGGGCCGGCCCCCCUCUCUCCCCACCUAUAAAUAGUGGAGGGGUGGGAGGGCAGCCACACCCUUGAACCUGGCGCAGCCCCUCCCCUCCAAUACCUCUCCUCCUCCGCGUGAGCUUGGCGAAGCCCUGCCGGAGAACUGCCACUCCAUCACCACCACGCCGUCGUGCUGCUGUUGGACUCUCUUCCUCAACCUUUCCCUCCUCCUUGCUGGAUCAAGGCGUGGGAGACGUCUCCGUUCCGUACGUGUGUUGAACGCGGAGGUGCCGUCCGUUCGGCGCUAGGAUUAUCGGUGAUUUGGAUCACGACGAGUACGACUCCAUCAACCCUGUUCACUUGAACGCUUCCGCUUAGCAAUCUACAAGGGUGUGUAGAUGCACUCUCCUUCCCCUUGUUGCUACAUUACUUCAUAGAUUGAUCUUGGUGAUGCGUAGAAAAUUUUAAAAUUCUGCUACGAUCCCCAACAGUGGCAUCAUGAGCUAGGUCUAUGCGUAGUUUCUAUGCACGAGUAGAACACAAAGCAGCUGUGGGCGUCAAUUUUGUCAAUUUACUUGCUGUUACUAGUAUUAUCUUGAUUCGGCGGCAUUGUGGGAUGAAGCGGCCCAGACCGACCUUACACGUACUCUUACGUAAGACUGGUUCCAUCGACUGACAUGCACUAGUUGCAUAAGGUGGCUAGCGGGUGUCUGUCUCUCCCACUUUAGUCGAAUCAGAUUCAAUGAAAAGGGUCCUUAUGAAGGGUAAAUAGAAAUUGGCAUAUCACGUUGUGGUUUUGGCGUAGGUAAGAAACGUUCUUGCUAGAAACCUAUAGCAGCCACGUAAAAACUUGCAACAACAAUUAGAGGACGUCUAACUUGUUUUUGCAGCAUAUGCCUUGUGAUGUGAUAUGGCCAAAAGGAUGUGAUGAAUGAUAUAUGUGAUGUAUGAGAUUGAUCAUGUUCUUGUAAUAGGAAUCAUGACUUGCAUGUCGAUGAGUAUGACAGCCGGCAGGAGCCAUAGGAGUUGUCUUAAUUUAUUUAUGACCUGCGUGUCAACAUAAAUGUCAUGUAGUUACUUUACUUUAUUGCUAAAGCGUUAGCCAUAGUAGUAGAAGUAAUAGAUGACGAGACAACUUCAAGAAGACACGAUGAUGGAGAUCAUGAUGAUGGAGAUCAUGGUGUCAUGCCGGUGACAACGAUGAUCAUGGAGCCCCGAAGAUGGAGAUCAAAAGGAGCAAAAUGAUAUUGGCCAUAUCAUGUCACUAUUUGAUUGCAUGUGAUGUUUAUCAUGUUUUACAUCUUAUUUGCUUAGAACGACGGUAGCUUAAAUAAGAUGAUCCCUCACUAAAAUUUCAAGAAAAGUGUUCCCCCUAACUGUGCACCGUUGCGAAGGUUCGUUGUUUCGACGCACCACGUGAUGAUUGGGUGUGAUAGAUUCUAAGUUCGAAUACAACGGGUGUUGACGAGCCUAGCAUGUACAGACAUGGCCUCGGGACACAUGCGAAACACUUAGGUUGACUUGACGAGCCUAGCCUGUACAUACAUGGCCUCGGAACAUGGAAGACCGAAAGGUCGAACAUGAGUCGUAUAGAAGAUACGAUCAACAUGAGAUGUUCACCGUUGAUGACUAGUCUGUCUCACGUGAUGAUCGGACACGGCCUAGUCGAUUCGGAUCAUGUUUCACUUAGAUGACUAGAGGGAUGUCUAUCUGAGUGGGAGUUCAUUAAAUAAUUUGAUUAGAUGAACUCAAUUAUCAUGAACAUAGUCUAAAUUGUCUUCGCAAAUAUGUUGUAGAUAAAUAAGCUCACUUUGUAGCUCCCUGUUUCAAUACGUUCCUAGAGAAAGAUUAAGUUGAAAGAUAUUGUAAGCAAUGAUGCGGACUAGGUCCGUAGUCCGAGGAGUGUCCUCACUGCUACACAGAAGGCUUAUGUCUUUGAUGCACCACUCGAUGUGCAAACCCCUACAACGUCGUCUAUGGAUGUUGUGAACACCUGACAGACACAUUCUGAUGACUACCUGAUAGUUUAGUGCACCAUACUUUACGGCUUAGAAUCGGGAUUCCAAUGACGUUUUGAACGCCAUAGAACAUAUGAGAUGUUCCAAGAGCUGAAAUUGGGAUUUCAGGCUCAUGCCUGUGUUGAGAGGUGUGAGACCUCUGACAAGUUCUUUUGCCAACAAGAUGGAGGAGAAUAGCUCAGCUAGUGAGCAUGUGCUCAAAAUGUCUGGGUGCUACAAUCACUUAAAUCAAGUGGGAGUUAAACUUCCAGAUAAGAUAGUGAUUGAUAGAGUUCUCUAGCCACUAUCACUAAGCUACUAGAUAUUUGUGAUGAACUAUGACAUGCAGGGGAUGGAGAUGAUCCCGGAGCUAUUCGCGGUGCUUAAGACCGCAAAAGGUAGAAAUAAAAAAGGAGCGUCAAGUGUUCAUGGUUUAACAAGACCACUGGUUUCAAGAAGGGAAAGGGGUAGAAGGGAAACUUCAUGGAUGGCAAACCAGUUUCCGCUCCAGUGAAGGAACCCAAGGUUGAACCCAAACCCGAGACUGAGUGCUUCUAUUGUAAGGGGAACGGUCACUGGUAGCGGAAUUACCCCAAAUGCAUGGUAGAUAAGAAGGCUGGCAACUUCAACAAAGUAUAUACGUGUUAUUAAUGUGUACCUCACUAGUACUCCUGGUAGCACCUGGGUCUUGGAUACCGGUUCAGUUGCUAUUAUUGGUGACUUGAAGCAAAAGCUACGGACUAAAUGGAGAUUGGCUAAGGGCGAGGUGACAAUGUGUGUUGGAAGUGUUUCCAAAGUUGAUGAGAUCACUAUCGCACGCUCCAUCUGCCUUCGGGAUUAGUAUUGAACCUAGAUAAAUGUUAUGUUGAGCAUAAAUAUGAUUAGAUCAUGUUCAUUGCAAUACAGUUAUUCAUUUAAGUUAGAGAAUAAUGGUUAUUCUGUUUACAUGAAUAAUACCUUUCAUGGUCAUGCAUCCUAUGUGAAUGGUUCAUUGAAUCUCGGUCGUGGUAAUACACAUGUUCACGCCAAAAGAUGUGGAGUUAAUAAUGAUAGUACCACUUUCUUGUGGCACUGCCGCUUAGGUCAUAUUGGCGUAAGAUGCAUGAAGAAACUCCAUGUCGAUGGAUGUUUGGAGUCACUUGAUUUUGAAUCGCUUGACACAUGCGAGCCAUGCCUCAUGGGCAGGAUGACUAAGACCCCGUUUUCAGGUAUAGUGAAACGGGCAAUUGACUUGUUGGAAAUCAUGCAUGCUGAUGCGUGUGAUCCAAUGAGAAUUGAAGCGUGCGGUGGAUAUCGCUAUUUUCUCAUCUUCACUGACGAUUUGGGUAGAUAUAGGUAUAUCUACUUAAUGAAGCACAAGUCUGAAACGUUUGAAAAGUUCAAGCGAUUUCAGAGUGAAGUUAAGAAUCAUCAUAACAAUAAGAUCAUGUUCCUACAAUCUAAUCAAAAGGGGAUUUUCUGAGUUAUGAGUUUGGCAAUCACUUAAGACAGUGUGGAAUUGUUUCACAAUUGAAGCCACCUAGAACACCACAAGGUAAUGGUGUGUCCGGACGUCGUAAUCGAACCCUAUGAGAUAUGGUGCGAUCUAUGAUGUCUCUUACCAAUCUACCGUUUCCAUUUUGAGGUUAUGCGUUAGAGAUAGCUGCAUUCACUUUAGAUAGGACACCAUUUAAGUCCGUUGAAACGACGUCGUGUGAACAUUGGUUUGGCAAGAAACCAAAGUUGUCACUUCUUAAUGUUUGGGGCUGCGAUGCUUAAGGCUUCAGUCGGAGAAGCUCGAACCCAAAGCGAACAAACACAUCUUCAUAGGAUACCCAAAGGUGACAGUUGGGUACACCUUCUAUCUUAGAUCCGAGGGCAAAUUGUUUGUCGCUAAGAACGGGUCCUUUCUCGAGAAGGAGUUUCUCUCGAAAGAAUUGAGUGGGAGGAAUAUAGAACUUGAUGAGGUUGUCGAACCUUUACUUCAACCAGAGAGUGAUGCAACACAGAAAGAUGUUUUCUGUGGAGCCUACAUCUGUUGAAUAGGAAGUUAAUGAUAGUGAUCAUAAAGCUUCAGAUCAAGUUGCUACCGAACCUCGAAGGUCGACAAGGAUAUGUACUACUCCUGAGUGGUACGGUAAUCCUGUCUCAGAUAUCAUGUUGUUGGACAACAAUGAACCUACGAGCUAUGGAGAAGCAAUGGUGGGCCCAUAUUCCGACAAAUGGUUAGAAGCCAUGAAAUCCGAGAUAGGAUCCAUGUAUCAGAACAGAGUAUGGACUUUGGUGGACUUUCCCGAUGAUCAGCGAGCCAUUGAGAUAAAUGGAUCUUUAAGAAGAAGACGGACGUGGGCGGUAAUGUUACCAUCUAUGAAGCUCAACUUGUGGGAAAGAGUCUUUUCACAAGUUCAAGGAUUUGACUACGAUGAGAAUUUCUCACCCGUAGCGAUGCUUAAGUCCAUCGGAAUCAUGUUAGCAUUAGUUGUAUUUUUCGUUUAUGAAAUCUGACAGAUGGAUGUCAAAACAAGUUUUCUUACCAGUUUCCGUAAGAAAAGGUUGUAUGUGAUACAAUAAAAGGUUUUGUCGAUCCUAAGGAUGCUAAAAGGUAUGCUAGCUCCAGCAAUCCUUCUAUGGACUAGAGCAAGCAUCUCGGAGUCAGAAUACAUGCUUUGAUAGAGUGAUCAAAGAUUUUAGGUUUAUACAAUGUUUGCUAGAAACUUGUAUUUACAAGAAAGUGAGUGGGAGCACUACAACAUUUCUGAUAAGUAUAUGUGGAUGACAUAUUGUAGAUCCGAAAUAAUGUAGAAUUUCUGGAAAGCAUAAACGGUUUCUUGAAGAGUGUUUUUCAAAGGAAGACCUGGAUAAAGCUGCUUACAUAUUGAGCAUCAAGAUCUAUAGAAAUAGAUCAAGACGCCUGAUGAUACUUUCAAAGAACGCACACCUUGACAUGUUUUUGAAGGAGUUCAAAAUAGAUCAGUCAAAGAAGGGGUUCUUACCUGAGUUGUAAGGUGUGAAGUUGAGUAAGACUCAAAGCUUGACCACGGCAGAAGAAAGAGGAAGGACGAAGGUCGUCCUCUAUGCUUUUGUCAUAGGCUCUAUACGGUAUGCCAUGCUGAGUACCGCACCUGAUGUGUGCCUUGCCACAUGUCUGGCAAGAGGGUACAAACGUGAUCUAGGACUGGAUCACCAGAUAGCGGUCAAAAUUGUCCUUAGAGGAAUAAGGAAAUGUUUCUCGGUUAUGGAGGUGAUAAAGAGUUCUAUGUAAAGAGUUACGUCGAUGCAAGCUUAACACCUAUCCGGAUAGCUCUGAGUAGAGAUACCGGAUAAGUAUAAUGGAGCAACAAUUUGGAAUAGCUCCAAGUGGAACGUGGUAGCAGCAUCUACGAUAUGACAUAAAGUUUUGCAAAAUACAUAGGGAUCUGAAUAUGGCAAGACCCAUUGACUACAACCUCUCUCACAAGCAUAACAUGAUCAAACCCAGAACUCUUUGAGUGUUUAUCACAUAGUGAUGUGAACUAGAUCAUUGAGUCUAGUAGACUCUUGGAUGUUGGUCACAUGGCGAUGUGACCUGUGAGUGUUAAUCACAUGGCGAUGUGUACUAGAUUAUUGACUCCAGUGCAAGUGGGAGACUAUUGGAAAUAUGCCCUAGAGGCAAUGAUAAAUUAGUUAUUAUUAUAUCAUAUUUCAUUUUUCAUGAUAAUCGUUUAUUAUCCAUGCUAGAAUUGUAUUGAUAGGAAACUCAGAUACAUGUGUGGAUAAACAGACAACACCAUGUCCCUAGUAAGCCUCUAGUUGAGUAGCUCGUUGAUCAAUAGAUGGUUACAAUUUCCUGACCAUGGACAUUGGAUGUCGUUGAUAACGGGAUCACAUCAUUAGGAGAAUGAUGUGAUGGACAAGACUCAAUCCUAAGCCUAGCACAAGAUCGUGUAGUUCGUUUGCUAAAGCUUUUCUAAUGUCAAGUAUCAUUUCCUUAGACCAUGAGAUUGUGCAACUCCCGGAUACCGUAGGAGUGCUUUGGGUGUGCCAAAUGUCACAACGUAACUAGGUGGCUAUAAAGGUACACUACAGGUAUCUCCGAAAGUGUCUGUUGGGUUGGCACGAAUCGAGACUGGGAUUUGUCACUCCGUGUAAACGGAGAGGUAUCUCUGGGCCCACUCGGUAGGACAUCAUCAUAAUGUGCACAAUGUGAUCAAGGAGUUGAUCACGGGAUGAUGUGUUACGGAAUGAGUAAAGAGACUUGCCGGUAACGAGAUUGAACAAGGUAUCGGGAUACCGACGAUCGAAUCUUGGGCAAGUACAAUACCACUGGACAAAGGGAAUUGAAUACGGGAUUGAUUGAAUCCUCGACAUCGUGGUUCAUCUGAUGAGAUCAUCAUGGAACAUGUGGGAGCCAACAUGGGUAUCCAUAUCCCGCUGUUGGUUAUUGGCCGGAGAGUUGUCUCGGUCAUGUCUGCAUGGUUCCCGAACCCGUAGGGUCUACACACUUAAGGUUCGGUGACGCUAGGGUUAUUAGGAAGAUUUGUUUGUGAUUACCGAAUGUUGUUCGGAGUCCCGGGUGAGAUCCCUGACGUCACGAGGAGUUCCAGAAUGGUUCGGAGGUAAAGAUUUAUAUAUGGAAAGUUGUUGUUCGGGUUCCGGGAAAAGUUCGGUUUUUUCCGGUAUUGUACCGGGAAGCUUCCGGAAGGUUCCGGAGGAUUUCGGAGGGGUCCGGAGGUCCGGAAAAUGUUCCACCACGUCCAAUACAACAGCAUGGGCUGUAGGGGGCGCCCUAACCUUAAUUGGCCGAGGGCACCAGCCCCCCCAAGGCCCAUGCGCAUGGGAGAGGGGAAACCCUAAGGGGGAGGGCCUCCACUUGACUUGGGAGGCACUCCUCCCCCCCUUGGCCGCCGCCCCCAACCCUAGAUGAGAUCUAGGGGGGCCGGCCCCCCUCUCUCCCCAUCUAUAAAUAGUGGAAGGUUGGGAGGGCGGCCACACCCUUGAACCUGGCGCAACCCCUCCCCUCCAAUACCUCUCCUCCUCCGCGUGAGCUUGGCGAAGCCCUGCCGGAGAACUGCCACUCCAUCACCACCACACCGUCGUGCUGCUGUUGGACUCUCUUCCUCAACCUCUCCCUCCUCCUUGCUGGAUCAAGGCGUGGGAGACAUCUCCGUUCCGUACGUGUGUUGAACGCGGAGGUGCCGUCCGUUCGGCGCUAGGAUCAUCGGUGAUUUGGAUCACGACGAGUACGACUCCAUCAACCCUGUUCACUUGAACGCUUCCGCUUAGCGAUCUACAAGGGUAUGUAGAUGCACUCUCCUUCCCCUCUUUGCUAGAUUACUCCAUAGAUUGAUCUUGGUGAUGCGUAGAAAAUUUUAAAAUUCUGCUACGAUCCCCAACACGGACACGGCCUAGUUGACUCGGAUCAUGUAUCACUUAGAUGACUAGAGGGAUGUCUAUCUAAGUGGGAGUUCAUUGAAUAAUUAGAUUAGAUGAACUUAAUUAUCAUGAACAUAGUCAAAAGGUCUUUGCAAAUUAUGUCGUAGCUCACGCUUUGGUUCUACUGUUUUAGAUAUGUUCCUAGAGAAAAUUUAGUUGAGAGUUGACAGUAGCAAUUAUGCGGACUGGGUCCGUGAACUGAGGAUUGUCCUCAUUGAUGCACAGAAGGGCUAUGUCCUUAAUGCACCGCUCAGUGAGGUGAACCUCGAGCGUCGAUUGUGGAUGUUGCGAACAUCUGACAUACACGUUUUGAUGACUACCUGAUAGUUCAGUGCGUAAUGCUAAAUGGUUUAGAACUGAGGCACCAAAGACGUUUUUGAAACGUCGCAGAACAUAUGAGAUGUUCCAAAGACUGAAAUUGGAAUUUCAGACUAGUGCCCACAUCAAGAGGUAUGAGACCUCUGACAAGUUUCUUAAGCCUGCAAACUAAGGGAGAAAAACUCAAUCAUUGAGCAUGUGCUCAGAUUGUCUGAGUACUGCAAUCGCUUGAAUCGAGUGAGAGUUAAUCUUCCAGAUGAGAUAGGGAUGGUUCUCCAUAGUCACUGCCACCAAGCUAUUGGAGCUUCGUGAUGAACUAUAACAUAUCAAGGAUAGACAUGAUGAUCCUUGAGCAACUCGCGAUGUUUGACAUCGCGAAAGUAGAAAUCAAGUAGGAGCAUCAAUUGUUGAUGGUUAAACCACUAGUUUCAAGAAGGGCAAGGGAAAGAAGGGAUACUUCAUGAGACGGCAAAUCAGUUGCUGCUCUAGUGAAGAAACCCAAGGUUGAACCAAACCCGAGACUAAGUGCUUCUAUAAUGAGGGGAACGGUCACUGAAGCAGAACUACCCUAGAUACUUGGUAGAUGAGAAGGCUGGCAAGGUCGACAGAAGUAUUUUGGAUAUACGUCAUAUUAUUGUGUACUUUACUAGUACUCCUAGUAGCACCAGGGUAAUAAAUACGGUUCGGUUGCUAAGCGUUAGUAACUUGAAAUAAAAGGCUGCGGAGACUAGCUAAAGGUGAGAUGACGAUAUGUGUUGGAAGUGUUACCAAGGUUGAUGUGAUCAAACAUUGCACGCUUCCUCUACCAUCGGGAUUGGUGUUAAACCGAAAUAAUUGUUAUUUGGUGUUUGCGUUGAGCAUAGACAUGAUUGGAUUAUGUUUAUCGCAAUACGGUUAUUCAUUUAAGGAGAAUAAUGGUUACUCUGUUUAUUUGAAUAAUACCUUCAAUGGUCUUGCACCUAAAAUGAAUGGUCUAUUGAAUCCCGAUCGUAGUGAUACACAUGUUCAUGCCAAAAGAUAUAAGAUAGUAAUGAUAGUACCACAUACUUGUGGCACUGCAAUUUGAGUCAUAAUGGUAUAAAACGCAUGAAGAAGCUCCAUGUUGAUGGAUCUUUGGACUCACUUGAUUUUGAAUCACUUGAGACAUGCGAACCAUGCCUAUUGGUAUAUAUGCAUGAAGAAACUCCAUACAUAUGGAUCGUUUGGGAUCACUUGAUUUUGAAUCACUUGAGACAUGCAAAUCAUACCACAUGGGCAAGAUGACUAAAAGGCCUAAUUUUCAGUAAGAUGGAACAAGAAAGCAACUUGUUGGAAGUAAUACAUCUUGAUGGGUGCAGUCCAAUGAGUGCUGAGGCAUGUAGUGGAUAUCGUUAUGUUCUUACUUCACAGAUGAUUUGAGUAGAUGCUAAGUAUAUUUACUUGAUGAAUCACGAGUCUGAAUUAUUGAAAGGUUCAAGUAAUUUCAGGGUGAAUUUGAAAGAUCGUCGUGACAAGAGGAUAAAAUAUCUAUGAUAUGAUCAUAGAGAUGAAUAUCUGAAUUACGAGUUUGGCACACAGUUAAGACAUUGUGGAAAUUGUUUCACAACUAAUACUGCCUGGAACACCAUAGUGUGAUGGUGUGUCCGAACAUCAUAACUGCACCCUAUUGGCUAUGGUGCAUACCAUGAUGUCUCUUAUCGAAUUACCACUAUAGUUUAUGGGUUAGGCAUUAGAGACAACCGCACUCACUUUAAAUAGGGCACCACACAAUUCCGUUGAGACGACACCAUAUGAACUAUGGUUUAGAGAAACCUAAGCUGUCGUUUCUUAAAAGUUUGGGGCUGUGACGCUUAUGUGAAAAAGUUUCAGGCUGAUAAGCUCGAACCCAAAGCAGAUAAAUGCAUCUUCAUAGGACACCCAAAAUAGUUGGGUAUACCUCCUGUCUCAGAUCCAAAAGCAAUAGGGAUUGUUUUUAGAAUCGGGUCCUUUCUCAAGGAAAAGUUUCUCUUGAAAGAAUUGAGUGGGAGGAUGGUGGAGACUUGAUGAGGUUGUUGAACCGUCACUUCAACUAGUGUGUAGCAGGGCACAGGAAGUUGUUCCUGUGGCACCUAUACCAAUUGAAGUGGAAGCUUAUGAUAGUGAUCAUGAAACUUCGGAUCAAGUCACUACCAAACCUCAUAGGUCGACAAGGAUGCGUACUACUUCAGAGUGGUACGUAAUCCUGUCUUGGAAGUCAUGUUGCUAGACAAAAAUGAACCUACAAGCUAUGGAGAAGCGAUGGUGGGCCCGGAUUCUGAAAAUUGGCUCGAGGCCAUAAAAUCCGAGAGAGGAUCCAUGUAUGAAAACAAAGUGUAGACUUUGGAAGAACUACUUGAUGGUCGUAAGGCUGUUGGGUACAUAUGGAUUUUAAAAGAAAGACGGACAAUGAUGGUAAGUAUCACCAUUAAGAAAGCUCGACUUGUCAUUAAGAUGUUUUCCGACAAGUUCAAGGAGUUGACUACGAUGAGACUUUCUCACUCGCAGCGAUGCUAAGAGUCUGUUGGAAUUAUAUUAGCAAUUACUGCAUUAUUUAUGAAAUCUUGCAGAUAGGAUGUCAAAACAUCGUUCCCUCGACGUUUUUCUUGAGGAAAGGUUGUAUGUGAUAAAACCAGAAGUUUUUGACAAUCCAGAAAGAUGCUAACAAGUAUGCAAAGCUCCAGCAAUCCUUCUAAGGACUGGAGUAAGCAUCUCGGAAUUGGAAUGUACGCUUUGAUGAUAUGAUCAAAGAUUUUGGGUUUAUACAAAGUUUAUGAGAAACUUGUAUUUCCAAAGAAGUGAGUGGGAGCACUAUAGAAUUUUUGAUGAGUAUAUGUUGUUAACAUAUUGUUGAUCAGAAAUGAUGUAGAAUUUCUCGAAAGCAUGCAGGGUUAUUUGAAAAGUGUUUUUCAAUGGAAAAUCUGGAUUAAGCUACUUAAACAUUGAGCAUAAAGAUCUAUAAGGAUAGAUCAAAAACGCUUAGUAGUACUUUCAAAUGAAUACAUACCGUGACAAGAUUUUGAAGGAGUUCAAAAUAGAUCAGCAAAGUUCUUGGCUGUGUUACAAGGUAUGAGCAUUGAAUAAGACUCAAGACCUUACCACGGCAGAAGAGAGAGAAAGGACGAAGGUCGUCCCCUAUGCUUUAGACAUAGGCUCUAUAGUAAGCUAUGCUGUGUACCGCACCUGAAGUGUGCCUUGCCAUGAGUCAAUCAAGGGGUACAAGAGUGAUCUAGUAAUGGAUCACAUGAUAGCGGUCGAACUUAUCCUUAGUAACUAGUGGACUAAGGAAUUUUCUCGAUUAUGGAGGUGGGAAAAGAGUUCGUCGUAAAGGGUUACAUCGAUGCAAACUUUGACACUAAUCCGGAUGACUCUGAGUAGUAAACCGGAUUCGUAUAGUAGAACAGUUAUUUGGAAUAGCUCCAAGUAGCGCGUGGUAGCUGCAUCUACAAGAUGACAUAGAGAUUUGUAAAACACACAUGGAUCUGAAAGGUUCAGACUCAUUGACUAAUAAACCUCUCUCACAAGCAAGAUAUGAACAAACCCCAUGGGUGUUGGACUCAUUGCAAUCACAUAGUGAUGUGAACUAGAUUAUUGACCAUAGUGCAAGUGGGAGACUGUUGGAAAUAUGCCCUAGAGGCAAUAAUAAAAUGGUUAUUAUUGUAUUUCCUUGUUCAUGAUAAUUGUCUAUUGUUCAUGCUAUAAUUGUAUUAACCAGAAACCGUAAUACAUGUGUGAAUACAUAGACCACAACAUGUCCCUAGUAAGCCUCUAGUUGACUAGCUCAUUGAUCAAUAGAUGGUCAUGGUUUCCUGACUGGACAUUGGAUGUCAUUGAUAACGGGAUCACAUCAUUAGGAGAAUGAUGUGAUGGACAAGACCCAAUCCUAAGCCUAGCACAAGAUCGUGUAGUUCGUAUGCUAAAGAUUUUCUAAUGUCAAGUAUCAUUUCCUUAGACCAUGAGAUUGUGCAACUCCCGGAUACCAUAGGAAUGCUUUGGGUGUACCAAACGUCACAAGAUAACUAGGUGGCUAUAAAGGUGCACUACAGGAAUCUCUAAAAGUGUCUGUUGGGUUGGCACAAAUCGAGACUGGGAUUUGUCACUCCGUGUAAACGGAGAGGUAUCUCUGGGCCCACUCGGUAGGACAUCAUCAUAAUGUGCACAAUGUGACCAAGGAGUUGAUCACGGGAUGAUGUGUUACGGAACGAGUAAAGAGACUUGCCGGUAACGAGAUUGAACGAGGUAUUGGGAUACCGACGAUCGAAUCUCGGGCAAGUAACAUACCGAUAGACAAAGGGAAUUGUAUACGGGAUUGACUGAAUCCUUGACAUCGUGGUUCAUCCGAUGAGAUCAUCGUGGAACAUGUGGGAGCCAACAUGGGUAUCCAGAUCCCGCUGUUGGUUAUUGACCAAAGAGAUGUCUCGGUCAUGUCUGCAUUAUUCCCGAGCCCGUAGGGUCUACACACUUAAGGUUCGAUGACGCUAGGGUUAUAGGGAAAGUAUGUACGCGGUUACCGAAUGUUGUUAGGAGUCCUGGAUGAGAUCCCGGACAUCACGAGGAGUUCCGGAAUGGUCCGAAGGUGAAGAUUGAUAUAUUGGACGAAGGAUUUUGGAGUCCGAAAGUGUUCCGGAGGUACCGGGUGAUGACCAGCAUGACCGAAAGGUGUUUCGGGAGCCCCGACAAGUGUUGGGGGGCUUCAUGGGCCAAGGGAAGGGGGCAAACCAGCCCACUAAGGGGCUGUGCGCCCCCCUUACCUAUUCCCACGUGACCAGGGGGUUUGGGGCGCCCCAUCUAGGGUUCCCACCUCCUGGCUUGGGGGCCAAGUCACCCAAGGGGGAGAUCCCAUCUGCCCUGGCCGCCGCCCCCCUAGGGGAAACCCUAGGGCGCCUCCCCUUGCCCUUGCACCUAUAUAUAGUGGAGGUUUUGGGGCUGCAGAAGACACGAGUCUCUCUCUCAAAAGGCGCAGCCCUACCUCUCUCCCUCCUCGUCUCUCGUAGUGCUUGGCGAAGCCCUGCAUGAGUACCGCGCUUGAGGGAGUCCUGGAUUAGGGGGUGUCCGGAUGGCCGGACUAUACCUUCAGCCGGACUCCUGGACUAUGAAGAUACAAGAUUGAAGACUUUGUCCCGUGUCCGGAAGGGACUUUCCUUGGCGUGGAAGGCAAGCUUGGCGAUACGGAUAUAUAGAUCUCCUACCAUUGUAACCGACUUUGUGUAACCCUAACCCUGUCCGGUGUCUAUAUAAACCGGAGGGUUUUAGUCCGUAGGACAACAUACAGAACAACAAUCAUACCAUAGGCUAGCUUCUAGGGUUUAGCCUCUCCGAUCUCGUGGUAGAUCAACUCUUGUACUACCCAUAUCAUCAAUAUUAAUCAAGCAGGACGUAGGGUUUUACCUCCAUCAAGAGGGCCCGAACCUGGGUAAAACUUCGUGUCCCUUGCCUCCUGUUACCAUCCGGCCUAGACGCACAGUUAGGGACCCCCUACCCGAGAUCUGCCGGUUUUGACACCGACAUUGGUGCUUUCAUUGAGAGUUCCUCUGUGUCGUCGCCGUCAGGCUUGAUGGCUCCUACGAUCAUCAAUAGCGAUGCAGUCCAGGGUGAGACCUUCCUCCCCGGACAGAUCUUCCUCUUCGGUGGCUUCGCACUGCGGGCCAAUUCACUUGGCCAUCUGGAGCAGAUCGAAAGCUAUGCCCCUGGCCGUCAGGUCAGAUUUGGAAGUUUAAACUACACGGCUGACAUCCGUGGGGACUUGAUCCUCGACGGAUUCGAGCCACUGCCGAGCGCGCCGCACUGUCACGACGAGCAUGAUCUAGCUCUGCCGCCGAACAGUUCCCUGGAGGCCGCACCCGCAUCGGCUUCGACCCUUAAUACGGAGCCAACUGCGUUGAUCGAGGAUGGGUGGUUGGAUGCCGCCUCGGGGGCUGCGAUCCCAACGGCGAUCAAGCCGAAAACCAGCUCUGCACUCCGCGAGACUCGUGACUCCAAGGAGCCGAACUCCUCUCCGGACUCCGAACCCUUCGUGCCCCUGCCGAUCGAAUCCGAUUGGGCGCCGAUCAUGGAGUUUACUACCGCGGGCAUCUUUCAGCACUCGCCUUUUGGCGAUAUUCUGAAGACACUAAAGUCUCUCUCUUUAUCAGGAGAGCCCUGGCCGGACUACAGUCAGCAAGGUUGGGAUACGGACAAUGAAGAAAUUCAAAGCCCACCCACCACCCACUUUGUAGCCACUGUCGACGAUUUAACCGACAUGCUCGACUUCGACUCUGAAGACAUCGACGGUAUGGACGCCGAUGAAGGAGACGAUGAAGAACCAGCGCCUACUGGGCCCUGGAAAGCCACCUUGUCAUAUGACGUAUACAUGGUGGACGCACCAAAAGAUGACGACGAGGAGCGGAAGGACGCACCGAAGGCUUGUUCCCUCGAGAAGCAGUCAAAGCGACAACGCAAACGCCGCCCCAAAUCCCGCCUCGACAGAAAUAAUGAUCACAUAGACCCAGCGCUGGAGCAGGGCGAACCGCUGCCGGACAACGGCAGUCCAGAUAAUCAAACCGAACAAACAAAUUCUAUCAAGGAUAAUGGUCCGAACGAUAUAACGCCGGACAGGCACCCGAAGCAGCAGAAUGCCCGUAAAAGGCUUGUUGCCACCACGAGGAGUCUUAAAAAAACAGAAGCAAAGGCUCAAGGCUGCGCAAGACACACUCCAAAUCAGAUGGAGUAAAAUACUCAACACAACAGCGAGGUACGGCGACAAUCGCCCCUCCAAGAGCUACCCAAAGCGGAAGCUGCUACCUUAAUUCGAUGAGGAGGCCUCAGACCCCCCACAACCAAAUAUCAAAGCAGCCACCUGGCCGGAUAAACGACCCCUCUACCAACACAGAGCGGCAUACAAUGCCACUCACAAUACAACACGCGACCCAUGCAAAGCUCCAGCAACCCUUCUAAGGACUGGAGUAAGCAUCUCGGAGUUGGAAUGUACGCUUUGAUGAGAUGAUCAAAGAUUUUGGGUUUGUACAAAGUUUAUAAGAAACUUGUAUUUCCAAAGAAGUGAGUGGGAGCACUAUAGAAUUUAUGAUGAGUAUAUGUUGUUGACUAUUGUUGAUCAGAAAUGAUGUAGAGUUUCUGGAAAGCAUAUAGGGUUAUUUGAAAAGUGUUUUUCAAUGGAAAACCUGGAUUAAGCUACUUGAACAUUGAGCAUCAAAAUCUAUAAGGAUAGAUCAAAAUCGCUUAAUAGUACUUUCAAACGAACACAUACCAUGACAAAAUUUUGAAGGAGUUCAAAAAUAGAUCGACAAAGAAGGAGUUCUUGGCUGUGUUAUAAGGUAUGAGUAUUGAGUAAAACUCAAAGACCUGACCACGGCAGAAUAGAGAGAAAGGACGAAGGUCGUCCCAUAUGCUUUAGACGUAGGCUCUAAACUAUGCUAUGUUGUGUACCGCACCUGAAGUGUGCCAAGCCAUGAGUCAGUCAAGGGGUACAAGUGUGAUCUAGGAAUGGAUCACAGGACAACGGUCAAGGUUAUCCUUAGUAACUAGUAGACUACAGAAUUUUCUCGAUUAUGGAGGUGGUAAAAGAGUUCAUCGUAAAGGGUUACGCAGAUGCAAUCUUUGACACUAAUCUGGAUGAUUCUAAGUAGUAAACCGGAUUCGUAUAGUAGAACAGUUAUUUGGAAUAGCUCCAAAUAGAGCGUGGUAGCUGCAUCUACAAGAUGACAUAGAGAUUUGUAAAGCACACACGAAUCUGAAAGGUUUAGACCCGAUGACUAUAACAUCUCUCACAAGCAUAACAUGAUCAAACCCAGAACUCAUUGAGUGUUAAUCACAUGGUAAUGUGAAAUAGAUUAUUGACUCUAGUAAACUCUUUGGGUGUUAGUCACAUGGGGAUGUGACCUUGAGUGUUAAUCACAUAGCGAUGUGAACUGGAUUAUUGACUCUAGUGCAAGUGGGAGACUGUUGGAAAUAUGCCCUAGAGGCAAUAAUAAAUUAGUUAUUAUUAUAUUUCCUUGUUCAUGAUAAUCGUUUAUUAUCCAUGCUAGAAUUGUAUUGAUAGGAAACUCAGAUACAUGUGUGGAUACAUAGACAACACCAUGUCCCUAGUAAGCCUCUAGUUGACUAGCUCGUUGAUCAAUAGAUGGUUACGGUUUCCUGACCAUGGACAUUGGAUGUCGUUGAUGACGGGAUCACAUCAUUAGGAGAAUGAUGUGAUGGACAAGACCCAAUCCUAAGCCUAGCACAAGAUCGUGUAGUUCGUAUGCUAAAGCUUUUCUAAUGUCAAGUAUCAUUUCCUUAGACCCUGAGAUUGUGCAGCUCCCGGAUACCGUAGGAAUGCUUUGGGUGUACCAAACGUCACAACGUAACUGAGUGGAUAUAAAGGUGCACUGCGAGUAUCUCCGAAAGUGUCUGUUGGGUUGGCACGAAUCGAGACUGGGAUUUGUCACUCCGUGUAACGGAGAGGUAUCUCUGGGCCCACUCGGUAGGACAUCAUCAUAAUGUGCACAAUGUGACGAAGGAGUUGAUCACGGGAUGAUGUGUUACGGAACGAGUAAAGAGACUUGCCGGUAACGAGAUUGAACGAGGUAUCGGGAUACCGAUGAUCGAAUCUCGGGCAAGUAUCGUACCGAUAGACAAAGGGAAUUGUAUACGGGAUUGAUUGAAUCCUUGACAUCGUGCUUCAUCUGAUGAGAUCAUCAUGGAGCAUGUGGGAGCCAACAUGGGUAUCCAGAUCCCACUGUUGGUUAUUGAUCGGAGAGUUGUCUCAGCCAUGUCUGCGUGGCUCCCGAGCCCGUAGGGUCUACACACUUAAGGUUCGAUGACGCUAGGGUUAUAGGGAAAGUAUGUACGUGGUUACCGAAUGUUGUUCGGAGUCCCGGAUGAGAUCCCGGACGUCACGAGGAGUUCCGGAAUGGUCCGGAGGUAAAGAAUUAUAUAUGGGAAGUCCCGUUUUACUCACCAGAAAAGUUUCGGGUGCUAUCAGUAGCGUACCGGGACCACCGGGAGGGUCCCGGGGGUCCACCAGGUGGGGCCACUAGCCCCAGAAGGCUGUGUGGGCCAAGUGUGGGAGGGGACCAGCCCCAAGUGGGCUGGUGCGCCCCCCACCAAGGCCCAAGGCGCGUGGAGAGUGGGAAUGGGGCAAACCCUAGGUCCAGAUGGGCCUUAAGGCCCACCCUAGGGCGCCCCCCUCUCCUCUCCCCUUUGGCCGCCACCCUAGAUGGCAUCUAGGGCUGCCGCCACCCCUAGGGAUGGAACCCUAGAUGGGGGAGAAGCCCCUCCCCUCCCCCUAUAUAUACUUGAGGUAUUGGGGGCUGCCCAACACAUGAUUUGAUCUCCCUCUUGGCGCAGCCCGACUUCUCUCCCUCCUCGUCUCUCGUAGUGCUUGGCGAAGCCCUGCUGGAGUCCCGCGCUCCUCCACCAUCACCACGCCAUCGUGCUGCUGCUGGACGGAGUCUUCCCCAACCUCUCCCUCUCUCCUUGCUGGAUCAAGGCGUGGGAGACGUCACCAGGCUGUAUGUUUGUUGAACGCGGAGGCGCCGUUGUUCGGCGCUUAGAUCCGAAUCGACCGCGAUCUGAAUCGUUGCAUGUACGACUCCACCAACCGCGUUCUUGCAACGCUUCCGCUUAGCGAUCUACAAGGAUAUGUAGAUGCACUCCCCUUCCCCUCGUUGCUAGAUUACUCCAUAGAUUGAUCUUGGUGAUGCAUAGAAAAUUUUAAAUUUCUGCUACGAUCCCCAACAGGAAAUACUUACGCAAGCAUGUUUUCCAAGAUAGUCAAGUGGGCAUGGUAGAUUAUUUUCGAGUUUCAUCAUAGCUACAUAAGAUGGCUCAAUGUUGCAGUAAUCUCAGAGCUAAAAUAAAACAUAGCUCAAGUAUCCAUACGCCAGCAUGGCGGGGUAGGCGAAGCGGGUGAGUGCCUCACCCUAGAUGGCUAAAGUCCAGUAGCCGAAAGCAUCACUAGUUUAUGCUCUGACCCAAGUAGCAUGGGACAUGAGAUCCCAUGUGAAUGAGAAAGGACCAUCUUGCAAGGCUAAAUAAUCUUGGGUGACCGAUAGCGAAGUAGUACUGUGAGGGAAAUUAUGGCGGAAAGAACCCUAGUGGGUAGUGAAAUAGAACGUGAAACCGCGCUGAGCUCACUCACAUCCCAUUUUCAAUGUUGUCGUAAUAUCAGACCUAAAACAAAACAUAGCAAGUACCCAUAUGCUAGUGUCAUAGACUCGCAUCCCAUUUAUUUUAAAUCUUGAAAACUAUUGUUCUUAUUUUCAUUGAAUCUAAUCAUCCACUCGAAGUUUAUAUCUAUACUCCAUUUAUCAUCUUGCUAAUCCAAUUAGAAGGAUGGAUACUUGGUGAAGUAGGAUUCAAAAGGCACCUCUAAAGGAACUAUCUUUCUUUUCAGAUUCACCUAUCUUCAAUUUAGAAAUUUCACCUAUUCUCCUUACCUUUCACUGUCAUAUUCCAGGAUUAUCAGUUAUAACAUAAAAUAUAAACUCUUAAUUAUAAAAAUAUAAAAAUAAAUAAUACAACCAGAGUGCUCUUCCUAUGCUUGGCACCGCAUCUUGGCGAGCUCGUGUCGUCCAACCAGAGUGCCUUUAUCGCUGGCCGCGGGGUGCACGACAACUUUAUGCUGGCGCAGCAAACGGCCAGAUAGUUCCACAGCAGCAAGGCCCUGUGGAUUCUUCUCAAACUUGACAUAGCGUGUGCUUUCAACUCCGUGUACUAGCCCUUCCUCCUCGAGGCCCUGCGCACCUUGGUUUUGGCAAGUGUUGGCAAGCAUGGGUAUCAAAUCUUCUGUCCACCUCCUCCACUCGCAUGCUCAUAAAUGGCAAUGCUAGACCUCCCAUGGAUCACGUGCGUGGCCUACGCUAGGGUGCCCUCUCUCGCCCUUGCUAUUUGUCCUCGUCAUCGACACACUCAACUCCAUGGUGCAACACGUAGUUCGGUGUGGUGUGCUACAGAGGCUCACGACAAGACCUGCUGCUUCCAGCAUCAUGCUUUUCGCGGAUGACGUUUUGAUUUUUUGCCACCCAUCUGAGUCUGGACUGUUGGUGGUGUGUGCGAUUCUACAAUGCUUCGAUGCGGCCUCUGGCAUGGCCACCAACUUAAAAAAGAUAUGUCACUCCAAUCCGCUGCACACCCGAGGAUUAUGCGUGCGCGAGAACCAUUCAGUCUUGCCUUGUCGUUCCAUUCUCGAUCUCCUACCUCAGCUUGCCUCUUUCGGUGAGGAAAGUUCCAGUCUCGACACUGAUGUUGUUUGUUGAGAGAAUGUCCAAGUGCCCUGCCACUUGGCAGGCUUCUCUUCUUUCCCGAGGUGAACGGCUUGCCCUUGUGUGACACGUUCUGUCCACCAUGCCCGUCCAUAUUUUGUUGUCCAUGACACUCUAACCGUCCAUUCUGAAGCUUGUGAUGUGGAUCAUUAGAGAUUUCCUUUGGCACAAACGGCGUGAGGCCAGGGCGGGGAACUGCCUCGUCAGCUGGGCCAAAAUCUGCCAAUCGUUGGAACUUGGAGGUUUGGGUGUGCGUGAUCUCCAGCGCAUAGGCAUCGCCCUUCGCGUGCGCAGGCUCUGGCUGCGAGCAAUUGAUCCAUCGAGGCCGUGGAACCAUCUUCCUCUCCCUACCACGACACGCAGGACAUCUUCAGGGUUUCCACUUCCCGGACUUUGGGGGACGACAAGACUUCUAUGUUCUGGCUUGACCAUUGGAUCGAUGGCCAUUCCAUUCGUGAGAUUGCUCCCACCCUAUUUUCCCUUAUGCCUCGUCAACACCUCAACCAUCGCCUAGUCUGUGAUGACCUCAAGUUGCGCUCUUGGAUCUAGGACAUCCAUGGCACUCUCAGCGUGGUGGCCACUAUCAAGUACAUCUCUUUCUCACAACACCUACACCAUGUCAACCUGUUGUCCGAGCCAGACUGCUAGCUAUGGUGUUGGACUGACAACAUGGUAUAUUCCGCAAGCUCUUGCUACAUGGCCAUGUUACAGGUAUCUAUCCCCGACCCGCACUAGCACCUAACCUGGAAGGGUUCGGCCCCGACAAGCGUCAAGUUCUUCCUAUGGCUUGUGCACCUUAAUAGAUGCUGGACUGCAGAUGAUCUCAGAAAUCUUGGCCUUCCGUACCCUUCUAGUUGCAUGCUUUGUGAUCAAGAGGCUGAAAUGAUCCACCAUCUCCUUGUGGGUUGUGUCUUCUCUAGGCAAGUUUGGUACCAUGUGAUUUCAUUGUGCCGCUUCACUGCCAUGCCACCGGAUGGGACAACAACACUCUUCUAUUGGUGAGCUGCGGCGUCGGCAUCCUGCCCUCCCAGUUUGCGCAAAGGAUUUGACUCCAUUGUCCCUCUCUGUGUGUGGAUGAUUUGGUAACAUCGGAGCAAGCAGGCAUCUAUCCCCGGCCUAGUGACAUCCAUCCAGGGUGAAGCACGGGCAUGGACUAAUGCAGGAACCAAAGGGCUACGUUUGAUUUUCGAGCAACCCUGUCUACUCCUUGGGUUUGCUUCCACACCAUCUUGUGUACGCGGCUUGGCAACCCCCUAACUCUGUUCUUUGUUUCCCUCUAUCAAUGCAUUGAUACGCUCCACCCGUAUUGGCGAAAAAAUAGUGUACUUAGCAACCAUGUUUCAGAAAUAAUUAAAUCGGACAUAUACUCUGUUUGGUAUAGUGAAACAUUUUUCAUCGUGCGCCCUUUCAUUACUCCCCCCCUCUUUAUAUUUUUCAGAAUCCUCCCUGCCACCGUGAAAAAACAUGGUUGAGUAACCUCGACUCAACAACCCAUGUCAGAUUCUUUCAGUUGGUGUGUAAACACAAAAAUCUUUCGGUACUUUGGCAUAUGAUCUGGCCAGAAUAGACAUCAUAUUUUGUUGGAUUAAAUUGCAGCAAAGUCGCCUAUUUCAAUAUUCAAUCUGGUCAUUUUGGUUUCAUUCUGAAUGGGAUUCAACCAAAAUUUGAAUUUUGUUUGAGACUAAAAGUCAUCGCCUUUUUCACCGGAACAUAAAGUUCAUUGUAAUUGGGUGAAAUCUCGGUGAAGAAUGUCGAGCCUUCGAAAUUAUUAGCCUCAAGUUCAUGAGAGCAUUAUAAUUCACAAGUAGCGUACUUGGCAACCGUGUCCGAGACCUCGGUUCAUGAGUUUAAUCGGAUCAAACGAACUAAGCACAGAUUCAUUCACGAAUGAUAUGAUUCAGCACUUAGAAACGAAGUCCAACACAAACUUCACAUGUCCAAGACUAAGAUAGUUGCCAAGAACAGCACACGUUUGGAAUUGUGGACAUGGCAAACAUGCAUGCAUGCAUGUGCCAAGGACCUGCCAAACAGCAAAGGAUCAAGAAGCGUUAAUGUCGUGGGCGCUCAGGCUCAGCCGAAGAGCAUCUGGGCGUGCGGGGUGAGGUCCUUGUGCACCUCCUUGAUGGUGCCCUCGGCGACGCCGGUGGCGACGGACACUUCCUUGACGGACCUGCCGGCGCCGGCGCGCUGCACGACCAUGAAGCUGAUGGCGGCGGCGACCGACUCCGGGUUGCGGCGCACGUCGAGCCCUUGCUCGACCCUCCGCACGGCCUCCUGUGCGUCGCGCACCUCCUGGUUGCCCAGGCCGAGCCGGGAGCAGAAGCGGCGCAGGUAGUCAGUGGCGCUGACGACGCCGAUGUCCAUCACCUGGCCGUCCUCCUCCCCGAGGAGCUUCUUGAUGUGCGUCGUCAUCUUGCCGACGUCCUUCUUGGCGGCCACGCCCCCGGCGGUGACGGACGCGAGCUCCUUGUACGUGCGCGGCAUGCCGAGGUUGCGGCAGGCGAUGUAGAGGCAGGCGGCGUAGACGGAGUCCCGCUUCCGGCCGCGCGGGCAGCCCUUGGCCUCGUCCAGCUUCUUGAACGUCUCCUUGGCCAGGUCCCGGAUGGUGGCCACGAGGCCGAGCCGGUCGGCCAUGUCGGGGAUGCCGCGGAAGCCGUCGACGAGGGUGUUUUCGGAGGCCACCCCCGCGUCCGGCACCGACAUCCUCGGCGGAGCCUUUGUCGCCACGCCGGUGGCGGAGGACUUCCUGGUCUUGUUGGUGUAGUCGAUGACGGUGGAGAGCUUGGUGUUGAGGAAGGGGUCGCCAGAGGUGCCGACGCGGCUGGGGUCGCGGUCGUCGCCGCCGCCGUCGUCGGCGAAGUUGCGCCACUCGGAACCCUCGUCGAUGUAGUGCGCGUCGAGGACGAGCGCGCACUCGGUGCAGAUGGUGUCGCCGGUGCCGUGGUCCAGGACAACCUCCGUCGCGGGGCGGCACUCCGGGCAGUACACGCGCUCGUCCGCCGCGGAGCAGGUGCUGGUGUACAUGGCUGCUGCUGCUGCCGCCGCCGCCGUGUGCGCAGUUUUGGUAUUGGUUGUGGCGACGGGUUGGGGAAAAGGGUCUGAAGGUUAGAUUGGGGGCUUUGGGCUGAUAUUUAUGGACGCAUAGGUCGGUUAGUUCGACUCGGUUUUGCACGGCGGUGAUUCUUUUGCGAGAAGUUUUUACAAUCAUUGUCCUCCUCGUACCCAUUGUCCGACACCACCCACAGUCGGUUUCGGCUCCACAAAAUUUGUAAACACAAGUCCACAGUCGGCUUCGGUCGAGAGAUUUUCCUUUUUUCUAAACAAAGAACGAGGGCUCUCACUCGAUCCUUCUCCAGCGCCGCCGCCGCCGAAGCACUUCCGUCGCCGCCGGACCAAAUCAAAGCUUCGCAUCGUCCCCUCCACCGGACCGCGCUUGCAGUAUCUUCGGUCGCCGCUGAAGCACUUCCGUCGCCGCCGUGAGAUUUUUCUGCGGAAUCGAUCAUCCCAGCUGACCCGUCCUAUCCAAUUGACACGCAGGGGCUUGUAUUUUUGGUGGCAGCAAAUCGAUCUUGGGGACAAAGAUGGCAAGCAACAAGAGGAGGAAGGCUGUGGCCGCGUCGCUCAUGCCGCCGUUAGCCGAGUCGCUGCUGCCGCCGGAUGAGCUGAUGACGGAUGUGUUCCUGUAGCUGCCCGUCAAAUCCCUCCUCCGCUUCCGGACCGUCUGCCGCUCCUGGGCCGCGCUGCUCUCCUCCGACGAGUUCUGCGGCCUCCACAGGGCCAAGGUCGAGGCCGAGGCAGCACCGUCACCCAAGCUGCUAUUCAUCUCGCCGGCCGCGAGCUUCGACUCCACGGGGAUUUACUCGUGCUCGCCAUCAGGCAACGGUCUCCUGCUCACUCUCAACGACGUGCGUGGUGACCAUGUGGACAUGACGCCUGCGCCGUGCCACGGCCUCACCCUCUUGCAUGACGCCGUUGAGCCAGCCUACUAUGUUUUCAACGCGACCACACGGGCCGUCACCCGGCUGCCGCCUUGCCAAGACUCCUUCAUGGCCAUUGCUUGUCUCGGAUUCGAUUCCAGGAGGAGGGACUACAAGGUAGUGAGGUUGUUUUUCGAGAAACACUUCGGGGUUGAUAAUAUCAAGUGCGAGGUGUACGCCCUUGGUGGCGAGCACGGGGAUCGCUGGAUGCCGGCUGCCGGUGGUGUGCCCUUUAGGUUCUGCAAGUUUGCCGCUGAUGCGAUAAUCGCAACACGGAGUGAAGCUAAGCUGAUGCCGGUGUUCGCAGACGGAUUUCUGCACUGGGUUGUCGACUCGCCUCUUUUCCUCGCAAAGCCAAGAGCUGCCGUCUUAUCGUUCUCUCUCGCAGAUGAGACCUUUAGAUGGUUCAGGUCACCAAUCUUCGAGGUCCCAGGAGUGCACCUGGUGGAGCUUGAUGGCCACUUGUGUAUGGUCCGGGACCUCCGUCCCGAUACUAGUAUUAUGGAGAUUUGGGAAAUGCAGGACUGCAACUCUGGUGAUUGGACGUUGGCACAUCGUAUUGAUUUGUUACAACAUGUUCAAAGAGGUUUGACGGAGCCGCAAAUUAUUAGAGUCAUUGGGUCUGUUGGCAACUGUGGAUCAAGGAACAAGGUAAUCUUGGCUACAUCCAAACGCAAGGUGAUCACCU